rnacentral:lncRNA from 1 species
CCUGUGGUUAAAGCUUUUAUGUCUGUGCCCAUGAAACGAACAACUCAAAUCAUGGAAAAUCCGUAUACUACACCUCCACAAGAAGACAAAAUACUUUACAAGUGAUCGUGAACAAAAGACUUCGGAUAUUCGUUAGUUCAGCUAGUAAAAUCGCUUGAAGUAGGUGAAAAAACUAUGUUCUCAUGAGUGGAAGAGGAAUGAUGUAAUUAGAAAGAAUAUUUUAGCUUUGAAACAUCCUUUAACUACUUUUAUUUUUGUAUGAUCAAGAUUUGCUUCUUUAUUAUCUUUAGUUUUUAUUUGUUGACUACAAUUAUAAAGUUUCUAUAAGCUUAUAGAUAUGAGAUUAUAAUCCUGCUUGAGAUUGCGGUUGAAAUGUUAUCAGCAACUUGUUUAAUAAGUUUUGACAAAAACGAUAUUUGGUAUAUUUUUUAAAAGUUUUUUAUUUUAAAAAUUUCUCUAUUUUGACUACAAUUUUUAAAGACAAGUAGAGGGUUACUUUUUAUAAACAAUUUAUUAAAUAAGCCAUCACACAUUUUUAAAGUUCGUCUUAUAAUCUUAAUCUUUUAACAAAAUGGUAAUUAUAUCUUAUUUUUCAUAAAACCUGAUAUACAAAUAAAAGACUAUUUAAAGCUAUGUCUAUUUUGGUUAUUAUACAAUAAAUAUGUAUUUUUGUAAUAAAAUUUACCAAACUCAUCUAUAUACUCUAUUUUUCAAACUCACACAAAUUGCAACAACAUAAUUUAUCAAAUACUAAGUUGGUUUUUUAAUCAGCAACUGACAUCAUGUACACAGUAGAAGCAACCAAUUUCAUCAGCUAUUGCAAUCCUAAACUAGACCUUUAUCAGUAAGAAAGAGAAAUGAUAUAGAGUUCGAAUGAUGACUAAAAGGCAAUGGAAAUGGCUAACAUAAGGUGCCAUUUUUGUCUUACUUUCUUUUGAUUUUUUUUAUCAUUAAAAAAAUGUUAAUUAUGUACGUAUGUAUAUGUAAAAAAGAUGGUGUUGAAACAUUAAAAAUAGAUUAAUAGAAGAAACAAAGUUUCUGAAUAACAAUAGUUUUAUUAGCAAAGUCUGAAUGAACGAAACUAUGGUCUUGGGUCCCUUUAUAUAAUAAAUCUAAGUAUUGCAAAUUUAUCAAAAUAUGCAAAUUUAAAAUAUUACUUUAUAAUAAAUUUGUCCUAUUAUAAAUAAGGAAAUUAAAACAAAUAGAAUCCAAACUCGAUAUCUAAAAAAAAGAUAAAAAUUUUGAAAAUAAAAAGAAUAAUAGGAAAAUAUCUUAGAAGUGAAAAACGAUUAGAAAAGAAGCGGAAUUUUUGGCUUGACCAUGUGUCAUGCACUGCUUGUGCAAAGAGAAACAUGUGGCUUAUUGAGUAGAAAACAACCAGCUGCUUGCUUCGUAAUUUGACAUGCUUGCUUCAGCUGCAUGCUUUUUCACCUACUUGCUUGGAUUAGGUGGGCCGAUGGCUAUAUAUGUGAAGAAUAUUGUGAGUUGCUUCAUUCUAUCAAAUUAGAAAUUGAGAGCAAAAACAAAUAGAAGAAAAGAAACGAAAAGAAGAAAAGAAAGAAGCCAAGAGUGGGGAAAAGAGAAAAAGAAAGGAAAAGGAGAAAAAGAAAAUUAAGAAGUUGAGAGUGAAAAAGAAUUUGGAAAGGUGGAAUUGAGGGAAAUAUUACUGGAAAUAGAAUUAGACAGUUAGAUUUAUAUUAAGUGAGUCAGUGGAUAAUAAAUUUAUAAAAUUUAAGUAGACAUAAUUUAAUUUGCAUAAUAUGUAUAAGUUUUUAUAUCAGUUCUAACAGUUAAUUUUCGAAUCUUGUAUUUUAGGAAAAAUCCAAAAGUCGAGGAACCUACAAGAGCCCCAACGAACCCCGGAAUGAAACAAGAUCUGUGAGUGAAUACUAUUAUUGUUAUAAUGUAUCUGUGAAGCAUUUAUGUUUGAUAGUAUGAUUUAAUAUCAUGUUAUGAUUACAUGUAUGUAUAUUAUAUAUUUGAUUGAGUCAUGAGAUGUGAUUGUCAGUCACUAUAUGUGUACCCUUCCCUAUAGACUCUACGCAUGCGUAUUGAGAGUUAGGUUACUUUACCUGUGCAUUGUAGUUAAAUGUUGCCGGGUAUUGAGAGGUUUUUCCUCUACUCUACUCAUGUGAUGAUGAUCUCGGCAAGUAUUCAGAGUUAUUUCCCCUGGGUACUAUUUGGUACAGUUUUUUUCAUGUAUGUAUGAUUUCCAUGUUUGCUAAUGCAUUACAUUUAGUGCCGAGUUAUGUCACAUGAUUAUGUAUAUACGCUCGUAAGCUACUUUAUAUGUGUGUGUGUGUUCCAGUCCAAAACUUUAAAGUGUGAGAACAUCCGUGAAAAUGCAUAAACCGUGCGGUUUAAGCGCUUUAAGUUUUAAGCAUUUAAAACCCCAUGGUUUUAAAAUUUUUCGGGACGUUUUCCAUACUUUAUAAUCAUGGAUAUAUAAAAAUUAUAUCCAUUUAUUGAGCCACAAGCUCAUUACUUUUGUAUUAAUCCAUUCUCUUCUAUGAUUCCUCAAGAUUUCAUGUAGAUAAGUUCUAGUCAAUUGAGGUUGGGCCAUGAGAUGUAUUGCUACAUGACUUUGAGCACGUUUAUGUUGCUUAUGUUCUUAUAUAUAUAUUUGUAGUGUAAGUACGUAUAAUGAAACAUGAUUGUGCAAGUUUUGAAUAUAUAUUUUUGGAUGAGGCACAUAGGUUGUUAUGUGUUUAUAAUAGAGGUCGUUUUUAUAUAUUCAUAAAUUAAGUUAGUGCCACGAGUUUUAAUUAUUAGACCGCAUGAUUCGCCUCAGAUCCAACACACGGGAUACAGCAGGUCGUGUCCCCACGAGGCAAAACAGCUCAAAUGGCUCUGGAUUUGUUUCGUCUCAUCGCAAGCUUUGAAACAUGCGCUAAAAAUGGACACCUGUAGCACAAGUUAUGAUUUUAGGAAGGUACCAUGUUCUUUCCAUGCAACCAUCCUGCAUUAAAAACUUUUCCUAUGAGGGUUUGCUGUUGCACUAUAUAGUAGGGGUAAUAGUAUAAUGUUACACUAUUGCACUAUAGUGUGUGUGUGUGUGUGUGUGUGUGUGUGAUUAGUAUUAAAAAUUGUUUGAUUAUCAAGUGAUAAAAAUAUUAUUUUGUGGUUAUAUUAUAAUUUAUAUUUGUGUUUAUGCAAUAUAUUAGGAAUUAUUAAUUUUGUCUUAACUAUAUUUAAUUUUGUGUAUUUUUGUGUGUUUAUUAGGUAAAAUAUUAAAUUCGUGUAAUUCGAGGCUCCAAACAGAUAAAUGGAUGGUAAAUUUAGAUUUUGGAGGUCUGAAAACCUUAAGAUGAGUCAAAACCGACUUAAAAUUGAGCUUGCGCAAAAGAGUUGACUUUUUGUUGACCGAGCACUGAUUGGAUGAUAAAAUGAACUUACAAUAGAUAUGAGUGCAUUGGAUAGCUGGUAAUUUUGACUAAAUCUCAAUCGUUCAUAAUUCAAUGGCCAAGAUUGUGCCACAUAACAAUGGUUGGUGAAGCAAGUUGUAGGAUUUGAAUCUUUGUAUUCGGGUCGACCCGAUCCGCCCAUUAACCCGCCAAAUCUCAACCAUUCUUUGGUCGAAUCGGACGCGUCAAAUGAUGCCACGUGUAAUGUUGACUUUUGAAGUUUGACCAGCCGUUGGAUCAUGAUCUAAUGGCUGUAAGGAGCGCAUGCAUAAAGCUUAUGAUGGGCCGCAAAACACUAGAUUAUGAAUUUAUUUUUCUAUAAAUAGAGCCUCAUUUUUAUGUUUUUGAUCAUCUCUCUACAUUUUUCUUCUUCUCAAUUUCUCUCAAUCUCCCUAUAAUCUUGUUUUCCAGGUGUGUUUUUAAUAUUUUAAAUAAUAAUUUUAUAAAUAAAUUUAGUUUUGUUUUCAAUUUUAGUUGUUUUUAUUACUUUUAAUAAUUUUUUUUAUUUCGAUUAUGCUUAACUAAAUAACAAUAGUUAGGGUAAGGUGAAACUCUUAGAAAAUAAAUAUGAUUUAAUCAAAUGCUAUUUUUAAUUUUAUGAAUUAAAUUAUUUUCUAUUUAAUUUUAUACAUAUUUUAUAUUUUAAAAUUUUGAUUAUAGACAAAUAAGGGAGUUUGGCACAAUAAAUUCUAAAUAUCUUAAUAUAAGGUAUGGUAAAAUGGUAUUUUGACUUAUUGUAGACAAAUUAAAUUUUGGCACAAUAAAUAUUUAAUCCAUAAUAAAAUUAAUGGGAAAAUAAUAAUAAUUUAUAUAAUCAAUCUUUUGGGCAAUAAAUCUAAAAAAAAUGGCAAAAACAAUUUAUUAAAUUUUAUUUACUACUAAGAGUGGAUCCAUAACCCUAACUAAUUCAAUUUCAUAGUUUUACUUAAAUUAAGUUGCAUAAAUUCAAGUUUUAUUUUCAUUUUUCGAUCAAAUAAAAUAAACAAAUUAAAUCUUUUCUUUGUAAAUCGAUCUCGGACUCACUGAACUAUAAUAUAACAAGACACUCUUAUACUUAAGAGUUAGAACCUAUUUUUAAGUUUUGUCAAGUUUUUGGCGCCGUUGCCAGGGAAAAGUUUUCAUUUUGUUUUAUUUUUCUCUUUCUGUAAAUUUUUAUUUAUGCCCUUUUCCUUUUCUUAAAUUUUGUUUUGUCCACAAUAUCUUUCAGAAUCUUCACUUUCAUCCCACAUAGUUCUGUUCCAAACUUCUUAAAAUUGUUGUGUGACCAUAAAAUUUUAAAGAAUUAUGAAAAGAUCUCUGGACGAAAUUUCUCAUAAUAAUCAGACUUGAACUUACAUCUUGGACUUAUUUUGAGUUAUGGACAUAAUUUGGACCAAGCAAACGAACUAUUGACUCGUCAUUUUUUUUUAGUUACUUAAUUUUCAUAUUUAUUUUAAUUUAUUUUAUUUUACGAUUGGUUUGAGCCCCCUAUUGUUAUUUAAUUUUCAAUUAUUUUAUUAUUUCACAUGUUUUUGUUUUAUUUUAUUUUCUUAAUUUUUAUGGUGGGUUCAACCACCAAAAUUGUUAUUUAAUUUUAAUUUUAAUUUUUCAAUGUUUUAAUUUUUUGUACACUUAUAUUAUUUGCAUAUUUAAUUAUUAUUUUUUUGUGUAAUUUUCAUUUAAUUCUUUUGUUACUAAUUUGUUUGAAUAUUACCUUUGUGAUAUAAUUAUUGCAUGAGACGUUACUCUCGAACUUCAAGUGGCAGGUUAAUUCGUAGAUCUCAAUCUCCAGCACCAAUCAUCGAUGAGUUCCAAGAUGAAAACUUUUUGGGCGACCCUAAUCCUUAGAUUGAUCAGGGAGACAACCAUUAUCAACAUAAUGCAUGUGAUCAAAAUCAACCAAGAACUCUGAGAGACUAUAUGAAUCCAACGAGAGCCGGAGCACAGUCAUGUAUAGUAUUUCCUCCAGAAGCAUCUCGAUUCAAAUUCAAACUAGGUAUUAUUCAACUUUUAUCAAUAUUUUAUGAUUUAGAAUAUGAGAAUCUACACUUACACCUAAGAGAUUUUGAGGAAGUUUGUAAUACAUACACAGACCAAAAUUAUAGAAUGAACAUAAUUAGAUUAAAGUUUUUUCUUUUUUCAUUAAAAGAUAAAGUUAAAACUUGACUACAAAAUCUUAUAUCUGGAUCAAUAAGAACUUGGAAUAAUAUGCAAGAACAAUUUUUUUAAAAAAAAUCUUUCCACCUUAUAGAACCAAUUCUUUUAAAAGGCAAAUCACUUCUUUCACUAAAAAAAAAUGGAGAAAAAUUAUACUAAUAUUGAGAUAGGUUUAAAGAAUUGCUUAACAUAUGCCCACACCAUAGUUUUGUAACUUGGCGAUUGGUCACUUAUUUCUAUGAGGGCUUAACACCCCAAAGUAGACAAGUUGUUGAAAUGAUGUGUAAUGGUGAAUUUAAGGAUAAAAAUCCUGAAGAUGCACUAAAUUACCUUGACUAAUUAACUGAAAAUGCGAAACAUUGGGACACUGUUGAAACUUUUGAAUUGACAAAUAAACCACAACCAUCUCCAUCUAAUGGAGGAAUCCAUAAUCUUCGGAAAGAUCGUGAUUUAUAAGCAAAAUUUGCAUCCCUAGUUAGAAAAGUUGAAGCUUUGGAGUAUAAAAAAAGUGAUCAAGUAAAAUUUGUUCAAGAAAUUGUAUGCAAUAUUUGUAGUUCUAAUGAUCAUUUCACUCAAGAUUAUCCCACUCUACUUGCACUUAAAGAAUGUCUACAUGAUCAAGCUAAUGCCAUUAACACUUUUAAUAAGCCAAACCAUAUUCACAGACUUAUAAUUCUGGUUGGAUAAAUCAUCCAAAUUUCAGUUAGAGGAAUGAUAAUAAUGCACAAUCUUCAAAAGCACCACCUCCACAAACUUUUCAAAAUGUUCAGCCUUAUGCACCAUAUAUUCCACCGCCAUGGAAAAAUCUGGAAGACACAAUGCAUUCAUUCAUCAGAAAGGAAAAUGUUAUUAACAAUCAAAAUGUACAAACUUUUUCUGAUUUGAAAGAUACUCUUGCUAAAAUUGCUUUUGCACUCAUAAUUCAAGAAAAAAGAAAAUUUCCAGCCCAACCACAACCAAAUCCUAAAAUUCAAUAAAAUCCACCCAUGGACCAAGUCAAGUCAAUUAUAACUCUUAGUAGUAGUAAGGUUGUUGAUAAACCUAUGCCUGAACCUUGUGAAAAUGAUGAAAAUUCAAAGGGUAAGGAAAAACUAAAUGAACUUACACCUAGUGAAGAAAUAACUAGUGUUCCACCUGAACCACCAUUUUCGCAUGCAUUGAAUAAUCCAAGGAAAUCAAACCACUCUUUCUGAAAUUUAUGAAAUUUUUAAGCAAGUGAAAGUUAGCAUUCUUAUAUUAGAUGCAAUCAAGCAGGUACAUUCAUACGCCAAAUUUUUAAAGGAUUUGUGCACUGUCAAGAGGAAAUUGAAGGUAAGAAAGAGUGCUUUCAUGGCCGAACAGGUAAGAACAAUUAUCUCUACUAAUAAUAAGUUGAAAUAUAAAGAUCUUGGUUGUCCUACCAUUUCUUGUAUUAUUAGUGAUCACAUAAUUGAGCAUGCUUUACUAGAUCUUGGUGCUAGUGUUAAUUUGCUUCCACAUUCAGUUUAUCUUCAACUUAAUCUCGGUGAGUUAAAAUCAACUUCAACUACACUUUUGCUUGCCGAUAGAUCAGUUAAAGUACCAAAAGGAAUAGUGGAAGACGUUUUAGUACAAGUUGAUAAAUUCCUAUACCUUGUGAAUUUUAUUAUCUUAGAAACAGAAUCAGUUGUGAAUGAUUAUAAACCAAUUCCUGUAAUUUUAGGUCGACCCUUUUUUAGCAACUGUUAAUGCUUUAGUUUAAUGAAUUUAUCCUUUGGAAAUAUGACUUUGGAAUUGAAUGUUUUCAACAUGUGCAGGCAACCUAAUAAAGAAAAUGAGAAUGAAGAUGAUACUAAUGAACAAAAGGAAUUGCUUGAAUCUUGUAUAGAGGAAAAUAUUCAAAAAACAGAUUUUACUGAACUCUCUGACAUUUGUUUAAUUAAUUCAAUUGAGUCAAAUAAGCAAUUUGAACUUAAUAUUUCUAAUAUAAAUUCGUUGCUUGAUUCUGUACAGAAUUAUGAUGAAGAGCCAAAAUUUGAAGAGCUUGGAAGUAUUGAAAAGACAGAACAACCAGAAGCACCCAAACUGGAAUUGAAACCUUUGCUUGAAUGAUUGAAAUAUGCUUUUCUUGUAGAAGAACAAACUUAUCCUAUUGUGAUUUCUUCUACUCUAACAAGCGACCAAGAAGGUAAGUUACUAACUGUUAUUAAAAAGCAUAAAAAUGCAAUUGGAUGGACUUUAAAUGAUAUUAAAGGCAUUAAUCCCUUAAUUUGCACGCAUAGAAUUAAUUUAGAAGAAAAUGCUAAAACAGGUCAACAACCUUAAAGAAGAUUAAACUCACACAUGAAAGAGGUAGUUAAAACAGAAGUUCUUAAAUUGCUUGAUGUGGGAAUUAUCUACCCUAUUUUUGAUAGUAAGUGGGUUAGUCCUACACAAGUAGUGCCCAAAAAAUAUGGAAUCACUGUUGUUAAAAAUGAAAAAAAGGUGAAUUAAUUCCAACACGAAUUACAUCUAGUUGGCGCAUGUGCAUUGAUUAUAGAAAGUUAAAUGAAUCCACUAGAAAAGAUCAUUUUUCAUUAGCAUUUCUUGACCAAAUCUUAGAAAGAGUAGUUGGACAUCCCUACUACUACUUUUUAGAUAGAUAUUCGGGUUAUUAUCAAAUUCCUAUAACACUUGAGGACCAAGAAAAGACCACAUUUACAUGCCCUUUUGGAACAUUUUCAUUUAAAAAAAUGUCAUUUGAGCUUUGUAAUGCUCCUGCAAUAUUUUAAAAAUGUAUGCUAAGCAUUUUCUGUGAUAUGGUUGAACAUUAUUUAGAGGUCUUUAUGGAUUAUUUGACUGUGUUUGGGAAUCCUUUUAAUGAUUGCCUUGAUAAUUUGGAGAAAGUCUUAAAAAGAUGUGUUGAAAAAGAACUUAUGUUGAAUUGGAAAAAAUGUCACUACAUGGUUACUUCUGGAAUUGUUUUAGGUCAUGUUGUAUCUGUUAAAGGAAUUGAAGUUGACAAAGUAAAAAUAGAAGUCAUAUCGAAAUUGUCGCAACAAAAAAUAGUUAGAGAUGUGCGAUCCUUUUUAGGACAUGCAGGAUUUAAUAGGAGAUUUAUAAAAAAACUUUAGUGUCAUAUUUAAACCAUUUUGUAACCUCUUCUUAAAAGAUGCACAGUUUGAAUGGACUGAUGAUUGCCAAAAAUCUUUUGAGAAAAUAAUUUGUCUUUUAAUAUCUGCAUCUAUUAUGCAAUCUCCUGAUUGGUCUUUACCUUUUGAAUUAACAUGUGAUGCAAGUGAUUUUGUUGUUGGUGCUGUUUUAGGACAAAUAAGGGAUGGUAAGCCCUUUGGGAUUUAUUACGCGAGUAAGACUUUGGAUAGUGCUCAAAUGAAUUAUUCUAUAACUGAAAAAGAAUUACUUCUUGUGGUAUUUGUAUUAAACAAAUUUCGUUCAUAUUUGCUUGGCUCUAAAUCUGUUGUUUUUACUUACCACGUUACUGUGGGAUAUUUAAUGAGUAAACAGGAUGCCAAACUGAGAUUAAUUCGUUGGAUUUUGUUACUUCAAGAAUUUGACCUUACCAUUAAAGAUAAAAAGGGUGUUGAAAUGUCGUUGCUGAUCAUUUAUUAAGACUCACAUUUGACUUCUGCACUGAUAUAACACCCAUAAAUGAUUCUUUCCCUGAAGAAUUUUUAUUUUCUGUUACUUCAAUCCCAUGGUAUGCUAACAUUGUUAAUUUUCUUGUUAUCGGUAAAAUGCCUUUGCAAUGGAAUGCUCGAGAGAAGAAGAACUUUUUAGUUGAAGUAAAGAAAUUUUAUUGGGAUGAUCCUUACUUGUUCAAAUAUUGCCCAUACCAAAAUUUUCGGCGAAGUAUUCCUGAUAAUGAGGUAAGUGUUAACAUAUAUAUUUCCAUGAUGUUGAUUUUGAUAAUAACAAACAAGAUUAAGAAUGAUUAAUUUUUUAAGCUCAAAUUGUAAGGGGAACUUACAUUUAGGGGGGAGCAAUUUAUGCAAUCAUUAUUUAAAUACAUGAAAAGUUUGUCAUCAUCAAAAAGGGGGAGAUUGUUAACAUUUAUGUAUUCAUAAUGUUGAUUUUGAUGAUAACAAACAAAAUUAAGAAUGAUUAAGUUUUUAAAAGCUCAAAUUGUUUUUAUACAUUUUAAAUAAAUCAUUAUUUUCACAUUUUAAAGGUUUUAUAUUUAAUGGAAAAAUGAUUUUAUGAAAUUAGUUGUUUUUCAAGUUUAUGGUUUAAUUGAAACAGUUUUGAAAACUUUGAAAUUAACAAGUAUUGCUUGAAAUUUUGGAGAAGGAUUUAUUUGAAAAGUAUUCAUACCAUUUUAGGUUAUUUCAUAAUUUCAAAAAGUUUUGGGAAUAGUAAGUAUUAUUUAGAAAUUCUAAAAUUGGACCUAUUUACAAAAUUUAUAACAUUUUGGGCCAUUGUACAGUUAUAUAAAGUUUUGGGGUCAAACUGUUAUUUUACAAAAUAGUUCACUGUAGCAGUUACUAUAGAAAACGGCGAUCCGACAUCUUGAUAACGGCUCAGCGACAUCGAACAGAUUUGAAGAUUAGCCUCUAGACACUAACGGUGAUCCGACAUCUAUAAAACGGCGAUCCGACAAUUUGAAAAUUCAGCCCAACGGUCAUAUUGACCAGUUAUGUAACACCCUAGGCGAAUCCCACAUCGGCAAAGCACGGGAGAGAUGCUGGGUUUAUAAGGGGUGAUCCACACCUUAAUUGGCAAGACGCGUUUUGGGGUGUAUGGGCGCCCCAAGAACAAAUCCGUGCGGGCCUUGUUAAGGCCCAAAGCGGACAAUAUCUUGCCAGGUCUGGGUUGGGUCAUGACAUUAUGGUAUCAGAGCAGCUCCGCAUGUCCUCUUGAGCGAUGGUGGGGCAAACCUCAGCGAGGACGCUGAGUCCCCAAGGGGGGGUGUAUGUAACACCCUAGGCGAAUCCCACAUCGGCAAAGCACGGGAGAGAUGCUGGAUUUAUAAGGGGUGAUCCACACCUUAAUUGGCAAGACGCGUUUUGGGGUGUAUGGGCGCCCCAAGAACAAAUCUGUGCGGGCCUUGUUAAGGCCCAAAACGGACAAUAUCUUGCCAGGUCUGGGUUGGGUCAUGACAUUAUGUAACGCCACAAAUUCUCAUAUAUAUUAAGUUAUAGAAAUUGAGCUUUCAUUGAGAAUUAUGGGUGGCCCAUAACCCUUAUUAAGAGGUUAUUUAUGAGAUAAUUUUGGGAAAAUGGUUAUUUUCCUAAUUAAAUAGGGUUUCUUAAGACUCCCUAUAAAUUCAUACUUUUUCCUUUCCAUAACCCUAAGUUCACAACGUUUAUUCUUCUUCUCUGCUGCUCUUUACGCUCUUACCCAAAUCUUAGGAUUCAAACAUUUGUUUAGGAGAGAAUCAAGCGACGGGUAAGUUGUUCUCCAUGUUCUCAACAGAUUUCUAAUCACUCUAUCUAACUAGGGUUUAUAUUGGCACGAUUCUAAUGGUUGUAGAUCAUGAUGCAUGGUUUAGAAUAUAUUUAGACUUUGCUUAGGGUUUUGAUUUAGUAUGAGUUUAGUUAAUCAAUCCUUGACGUAUUAAGCACAGGAUAAUUCUGGACAGCAUGAGGAUCUCGAAUUUUAAAGCUAUAUUUUCUGAACGAAUUUUCUUAUAAAAUUUAUAUUUCUGGAAACUAGACAUGUCGGGAUUCUUGAUUAAAUUUUAUUUCAUUAAAUUCAACUUCGUUUUCAAUUUUAUAUGUAUUUUGGAAAUAGAAACCACUGCACUGGAAAUCCACGAUUCCAGUAUUGUGAUCAGAUUCACAAGACUAUUUAUACCACCAAAUGAACUCAAAAAAUUCUGAAAGUUUAUAUGUAUGUUAAUAUAUGUGUCUAGGAUUCCCAGUUUUAAUUUCAUAAUUUUCUGAUUAGUAGUUUAUUUUAUAAAAAUCACGGAACCCGUUCUGUUUGGUUUAGAUUAUGUGAAAACAGUUUCGAAUUUGAUGAGAAGUAAAUAGUUUUUAAAAUGUUUUUGAUAUCGGAUUAUCUUGUAAAUUUUACAUGGGGUACUCAUGAAUGUUCAGAAUGGUUCCAUAGGAUUUUAUAUCAUUCUGAGACUUGGAUUAAGAGUUAAAAUUCCGAGAAUCAGACCUGUACGGGUAUGAAUUAGAAAAUCAAAUUCUUAGAAUAAGUUAUUGAUUGUCAUAUCUUGUAUUUGUUUAAGGUUUUGAAGGUGUUUGAGACUCUUAGAAGCUUAGAGGUGUGUUAAUCCAAGUUCAUUUGUCGAGGUAAGUAACUUCAUUCCUAAUGUACUGGAUAUGUAUAAGUAUUUUGAUAUUAUUAUUAUAAGUAUAAAUGUUUUGAUACUACUUAAAGGAUUACUAAUUUUGAUAACAAAAUUAGCUUUAUGUACAUGUUUUCAAACCAUUCUUUUUAACAAAGUAUUUUAUAAAUGCUUUUUAAUAUGUAAAUGAUUUUAUGACAUGACAACCUUUUAUGAUGUUAUCUUUAAAAUGUUAUGCAAGCCUAUAUUAUUGAUAAGAACUUUUAUGAAACUGAUACGAAUGUUUUGUACCUAUGUUUGAUUUCAAUUAUUGAUGAUUGUAUGAGAUUCUUAAUGCUUUGGCUCAUUGUCCAUAGUUAGUCUGAUUCUGAUUCUGAUCGUAAUAUACGAUAUAUCCGUCUGGACCAGUACUGGGUUUCUGUUAUGAAUGUGCACACGAUAUUCUGAUUCUGUUUCUGGCCGGGUCACCGGGACUAUAGGUGACACUAUGUGACAUGAGCUAACCUGUUUGUUUUCUGUAUACGUAUUACAUGAUUUGCUUCGUAAGUAAAUAUGCUUUUGAAUAUUCUGAAUUAUUAAGAAUUUAUCUUAUGUUAUUGUGAUAUAUCGUUUUAUGAAAAUUAUGGAUUAUGAUAUAUGCUUUAAACAAAAGAAGGCUUGCAAUAUUUUUGGUAUCGAUAGGCCUAGUGUGUUAGGAAUGGUUUUACUUACCGAGUUGACGGCUCACCCCUCGUCAUUACUUUUUUGCAGAUUAAGUUUCUUUUGAGAGGUGCACUUAGCUUUGGAGUUAGUGAUUUCCAGUUUCCGUUUGCUAUUGAAUAAGAGGAGGAAUAGACUUGUGUUUCUAUUUAGUUACUUUUAUUAUGAACGUGUAAUUUGGAGUUUGAGACUUUUGUUAUUAUUUUUAUAUGUCCUCGAGAGAGAUUAUUUAGUAUUUGACGUUUGGAUUUAUGGAUUUAUUUGAAUAAGAAUUGGAGGAAUUUCAGUUUGAAACUUAUGAGUAAAGAUUAAUGAUUUGUGAGUAACCUCCUUCUUCACGUGCUCCGCACGUGUUAGAUUUGGGGUGUUACAAUUGUGGUAUCAGAGCGAUUGACCAUCCUUAAGAUUAACAAUUAUGCCGAUUUGAUUUGGGCCUUAACAAGGGGGGUGUAUGUAACACCCUAGGCGAAUCCCACAUCGGCAAAGCACGGGAGAGAUGCUGGGUUUAUAAGGGGUGAUCCACACCUUAAUCUCUCCCGUGCUUUGCUGAUGUGGGAUUCGCCUAGGGUGUUACAUACACCCCCCCUUGGGGACUCAGCGUCCUCGCUGAGGUUUGCCCCACCAUCGCUCAAGAGGACACGCGGAGCUGCUCUGAUACCAUAAUGUCAUGACCCAACCCAGACCUGGCAAAAGGUCAAUAACGGCUAGUUUUCAGCUCCAACUAUCAAUAAGCUCAUUCAAAUCCAAACAUGUACUAUUCCAACAAUUAUCAUUGAGCACAAUAUUGAGAAUACAACUUUCAUUGCGCUUUAAAUCUUUGUAUUCAUCUCAGUCAUUCACACAUUGAGCUUUCAUUAGUGAUCAAACAUAUUGUGUGAGAGAAAUUCAUUUAUAAUCUUUUUUGUAAAAUCAAGUUAAGAGAUUGUAGGUGUUGGGAUACACUUGGGUUAAGAGAUUGGGGAUAAUCUCUUGUUGUGAAGGUUCAUUGACACCUUGGAAGUCAAUUAUAAUCAUUCGAAGCCUUGGAGGCUUGCUUAGUGAAAUCCUCAAGCUCAGGGAGCUUGGAGGCGUGGACGUAGGUAAGGAUUGCCGAACCAUAUAAAAAUCAUUGUGUUUGCUCUCUCUUCCCUUAUCUUUUUAUAUUGUGAUUGAUUUAUUUGUUAUUACUUUAAAUUCGUUUUAGAUUUGCAUUGAGUUUUGCUUUAAAAUUGAAUAAUUUUUAAAAACCCAAUUCACCCCCCUCUUGGGUUGCAUAACUAGAAUUUCAGUAAGUAGUGUCAUUAAUUUUUGUUAUUUUGAAGCAUGUGGUGGACACUUUUCUUCAAGAAAAACUACUGCUAAAAUUUUGCAAUGUGGAUUUUAUUGGCCUACCAUAUUCAAAGACACAUAUGAAUUUUGUAAAACUUGUGAAAAAUGUCAAAAAUUGGGAUCAAUUACUAAAAGAAACAUGAUGCCGUUAAAUUUCAUACUUGAGAUUGAAAUAUUUGACUGUUGGGGAAUUGACAUUAUAUGUCAUGAGUGCCUCAAUAAGAAAGUUCCUGGUCACACAUCUUAAAAGCCUUUUGCGUGUGAAAUCUCACUUGAGAGGCCUGAUACAAAGCGGCAAAUCAAAUCCACUUUGGGAUCUAAAACCACCAAUAUUAGUGUCCUACGUUGAGGACCUAGAAAGACAACUCAGAGCAAUAAAGAGUGGUAUAUAUGAAUUUCAAUUGGAGCUUGAGGUUAACUCAAUAAAAGGACGAAUGUAAGUUCAUUUUUCUCUUUUCUUGUGUCAUUUGUUUUUGUUGUUUUGUUCACUUUCGCAUUUGAUUUGAUUUUGUAGUUUUGAUUCUUUUUAUUUUUGUGUGUUUUGAUUUAUUUUCCCGUAUAAAUGGCGGAUAACGUUACUCUGUCACUUCUUAAGUCAGGAUCUUCAGUUUCCCACAAUAACUGAAACCCCAAAAUCAAACAUGGAAGAAAUAUAACAUAAACUGCAUAAGCAUUUUUCCUUUCUCCUUCAGAAUGCCCUAAGGAAAAUUUAUAAAGCUCGUUGUGAAUGACUGCAUUUGUUAAUGAUCAAAGGCAUUCCUUCUAACAUUCGUUGGUUAAUUGAAGUAAAGGUCCGAUUAGCAGGUGAGUUUUCUGAUCCAUUUGUUUAUUUCAUUCCUGGUUUUGGUAAAAGUACAUUUGCUUAAAAAAGAAGAGCUAAACAACUUGGCUCAAAAUGUCAUAAUUGUGUAAGAUUUCGUUGCAAAUGGAGGAAUUGUAAAUCUUUAGGAAUGGGGUCUGAUAAUCAUGAAGAUAAAAUUAAAUUCGUUAAAGAUGGCCUGAGUAAAGAAUCGUUGGAUGAUAUCUUCGAUCUCUUGAGACGCAUCAAAGUGGAUAUGUGCAAUGUAAGAUUCAUAAUUUGUGGAUACUAUUCUAAAAAUAAAGUGCACAAUUUAGUCUUAGGAAUCUGACUCAAAAGGACCAUGUUUGCCAGUUUAUAAGAAAACUGGAUGGUAAGCAUAUCCUCAACCCAUAGAGGGCGUUCAAGUCGUUACUGGACGUAAAACGAGAGGAAGAUGUGAGCCAUAAUCACAACUACCAGUAAAUAUCCUUUUCUUUUGCUGUUUUUUUUAUCAUUUGCAUUAUUGCAUUUAGUGGUGUGAUUUUGUAUUUAAUAAUUAUUUGUUUUCUUUUACUGUUUGCUUUUUCUAAUCACUAUUUUCUUUUUCUUUUUACUGUUUGCUUUUGAAUUAUUGAGUUAUGAGCUUGAAAUGCAAGUUAUGCAACCUAAGAGGGGGGUAAAUUGGGAUUUUAAAACUUAUACAAAACAAUUCAUACAACAAUUUAAUCUAUUUUCUUAAUCAAAUAAAAAAUAAUAAAUUAAAUAAAGCACAAUAAUAAAAGAGUAAGGGAAGAGAGAGCAAACACAAUAAUUUUUACGUGGUUUGGCAAUCCCCACCUAUGUCCACGCCUCCAAGCCAACCAAGCUCAAGGAUUUUACUAUCCAAGCCUCCCAAGGCUUCAAGUUCUUUACAAUUGACUUCCAAUAUGUUAAUAAACCUUUACAACCAAGAUAUUAUCUCUGAAUCUCUUCACUCAAGUGUUUCUCACACUUAUACACUCACAAAUUUGAUGAGAAAAUAAAGAUUACAACAAAGAAACUCUUUUUAAGAGUGGAUAUACAAAUUAUAGCACAAUGAUAAUUCAAUAUAUGAAGAUUUGUGAAAUGGAAGCUCAAUAUAUGUUAUAUACACUUGUUUAUACUUGCAAAAGUCUUAAAAUUGAUGUUGGAGUUGAGUUUUUAUAGAUAAAACCUGAAAACUAGCCGUUAUAGGCAAAUUCGAGCAAGCAAGCAGUUAGCCGCUUAAUUUAUCUCGCUCCCUGCUUUAGAAUAGUAAAGUUACCGUUAAAUUUGAAUAUUGCUACAGUAAUACUGUUAAUAAAAUUACUAUUUUUCUCAAAACUUUCUAUAAUUAUACAAUGGCCCAAAACGUAUAAAACUUUACAAAAAAGUAUAAUUUCAGAAUUUUUAAAUAAUACUAGUUAUUCCCAAAGCUUUCUAAAAUUGUGAUAUGGCCCAAUACAUGAUAAUUUUUUAAAAAUAGUCAUUUUCAAAAUUUAACAAAAUACUUAUAAAUUUCAAAGUUUUCAAAACGUUUUCAAUUUAGUCCAAAAUUUGAAAAUGUGAAGUUUUCCACAUGCGGCUAGCCGCUAGCCCUUAGGAGGUUAGCCGCUAACUCUCUAUCCACUUACGAUAUUUGCACUCAGGCCCUCAAACUUUUAUAAAUUAUAGUAUGGCCUAAAAUAUUUCAAAAGUUUGCAAAUAAGUCGAAUUUCGAAAUUCAAAACAAUACUUAUUAAAAUCAAAUAUUGCAAAACUUUUUCAUUUUAGUUCACAUCUUGAAGAAUAACUAACUUCAUAAAAUUCUUAGCUUAUACUUGUAAAACUUUUGAUUUAUGAAAAAAUAAUGAUUUAUUAAACAAAAUCUUGAACUUCUCAAAUGCUAAACCAUUUAUAUAUUAAAUCAUCCCGGUUUUACAAAAAUUGUCGCAAUAGUGAGUCUGUUGAGCUCUAAACUUUAUUCUUGAUUGCGCCGUUGUCCGUUAAGUGUCUUGAACUUGAUUUCACGCGAUUCACUUCAUCAUAAAUAUUUUCCUUCAAGAACUAGUGAAAUGUGAAUACAAUAUUUUUCAAAUCAUUUAAGACAUAUGUUUGUUAUCAUCAAAAUUAUAUGAUGUAUAGCCCUUUAGGCUAAUUGAGCUUUACGUGUCAUUUGACAAAUAUGCCAACCCAUUUACAACUGUUUCUCAUUAUUUCAGUCACCAAGAUCUUUAAAUAUGAGCUCGUUUUUCAAACACUCACAACUUUUUGAAAGAUUAUUCCAAUGGUAACAUCUUCGAGUAAACAAUAUAAAAACAUUUGGGAGCUUUCUGGGUUUCACUAUGGAAAGUACAAGGAGUUCGUUCAGACAGUUGUAGAUCUUGGUCAUGUUAUAGCAGAGAGGAACCUACACUUUGCAUAUGGAGGAGGUGAACGAGGGUUAUCAAGGCUUGUCUCAGAAGUUGUUUUUACUAGUGAAAGCUAAGUACUAGGCGUUAUUCCAAAAGCCAUUAAACCUCUAGGAUGCCUGUCUGGCCCACCAAUUAGAGUAGAAUUAGUGGUAUCAAGUAUGGAAGAGAAAAUAUCUAAAAUGUUAAAUCAUGCUGAUAUUUUUAUUCUCUUACUAGGAGAUCUUGCAACUCUUGAGGCACUGAUUACAUUUGCAUCUUGGGCACAUUUGAACAUUCAUAAAAAACCCAUCGACUUGUUAAAUAUUAAUAAUUUUAUGAUGGCUUGCUAACUUUUAUUAACCAUGCAAUUAGGAAUCAUUUUGUUCCACACUCUGUAUAAAACUAUUGAUUUGUGCUUCUUCUGCGAAUGAGUUACUUGAUCUUUUACUAGCUUAUACACCAGAGCCAGAUCCCAAGACUUACGCGCUGGAUUGGUCGACUCAUAAUGGUAGCAGUAGCAGUAGUAAGAAGUGCAAAUUAGAUUUAACUCUACGUUUGUAAAUAUUUUCUGUUGCAGUGUUCAUGUGAUGUCUUUUAAACUUUUCCUCUUUCCUUUUAAAACAUUGAGGACAAUGCCUCGUUCAGGUUGAGGAGAGGGAUUAAUUGAUAAUUGUGGAAUGUCUUAGUCCUGGUGAUGUUUUUACAAGGUUUUACUGUAAAGACUAACUUUGGACUAAAUUUGAGUUGAAGAUGGAUGGAUAUGGAGAUUGCAGUACCUCUAGAAACGCAUCUUCUUAAUCUUAGAGUUUUAUUAAAAAAGAUGUAACAUUUGCUUGUUUUUUGUCAUCUUCUUUUAAGCUUCUGUAUUGAGUUCAGGUGAGAUCUCCCCUUCUUCUUCUGUUGUUAUAUAUAUAUAUGUGUAUAUAUAUAUAUAUAUAUAUUGUAUGCAUAUAUGUAAAACUCUAAAAUGUUGAGAUAAUGUUUAGAUUAGGUUGGGGUGGGGGAUAAUUGACGUGUGUUUUUAAAUAUGUGUGUUUGUUUUUCCCUUUUUCUUUAAAAAAAAAACCAAUUUUUUUUGUCUAGGAUGGUUGUGUAAAGAGUUACGACUUUUGAGACGCAUCCUAAUAGUUAUGUUGUGUUAUAUUUUGAUUUUGAAAUUCAUAGUAAGUUGUUUUUUUUUUCAUUUUCUUUGAAUUACUCAAAUUUUUGAACUCUCCAAUUGGUUACUAAGUCAUUUAAUUGUUUAUCAUUUAACAAGUAUUGUUGAAUCAUUCUUCACACACACACUAUGACAUAUACUAGUGGGUUGUAAGUUCAAAUUUUUAUAGCAUUUAGUUCUUUUGAUUUAUUAGGAAUAAUAUCUAAGGUAGUAGAAAAUGUAUAUUGCCAAAAAUAAUUUUGAAUGUGUUUAAUUUUGCUAUAUCUAAAACGCGAGUAAUUAAGUUCGUAGGGUGUUUCAACAUCUAGUGCCCUAAGACCAACUGGUCUGGGAGUCACUGGCCUAAAGCUCGCUAUAUGAGUUAUAGAUAUAUUGUUUGCUUAUUUAUUAGAAACUCGAGUAAUUAAGUCCGUAAGGGUGUUUCAACACCUAUUGCCCUAAGGCCAACUGGUUUAGGAGUCACUGGCCUAAAGCUCGCUACAUAGGUUAAAAAUUUAAUGUUUUAAAAUUUAUGUGAAUAAUCUACUGCCUAAAGAUAGAAUUUCUAAUGAAUUUUGGAACGAAAAUGUUGUUUUUCUUUUAAUGAAACGCCAUAAAUAUUGUGUUAAUUACUUGAUUAUAAAAAAAAGUUCGAUGAUAUUCUGGAUAAUGUGCACAAAAGAAGGUUUGUUGCUCUGCAAGCAUUUUAGUUUUCUUUGUCCCAGUUGUUCUUCUGUUGGUUUUUGCGCUGUUGAUUUAGAAAAUUUUAAAAGACUUUUUGUCCUCUCAUUUAGAUGUAAUUUUCUUUUUCUUUUUCUAAUCUUUAUAAUCAAUAAAGCGACCCCUCGUUCUGCUGAGGUUUGCCAAGAAGAAAGAAAGUGACAACCGGGCUGGAGCUCCGGUGUAUGUUUUAGUGAACUUGUUUGAUCCCGGUAGUACAAGAUAAAAUCGAUGAAAUUAAAAUGAAUAUACUCACAUAGUUAUCGGAAGACAAAUUACUUAAGAGUGUAGCUAAGUUACAUUAUAUGUUAACUACACAAAAUAUGUACUUAAUGUAAUUCAAAACAUGUUAACAAUUUAACAAUAAUUAAAUUUUUGGGAGCCACUCUUGGGUUGAUGUAAGUUAUAUAUAAUGUAACUUAACUUGACUCUUUAUAAGUACUAUGUCAUUACCUAAUUAUAGUGCUAUACACUCCUUAUUUAAUGCUUUCUUGAAAAAAUUGCAGAAACAAUAUAAAGAAGAUAAAUUUCAAUAUAUUAUUAAUUUAUGAGCACAAAGACUUAAUUUAUAUAAGUAUUUGAAAGAUGAAAAAAGAAAUAAUACAACUAACAUAAUUUGAAAAUAAUAUUGAUUAACAAAGAUUUAGUCAAUCAAAUUUUAUGUUGAUUUGUAAUCAAUCUUUUUUAAUCAGUAAUUAAGAUGGAGACAAUCAAUUAUUUAAUUGAAUUUUUUUUUGUUUUCAUCAAUAUUGUUUGAUUCUUAUCAUCCCCAACUUGCCUUAAAAAAUUGCAAAUCGUUGAUUUUUAUUUCUAGUCUCAUCCAAUUGUCACGUAACAAAUUAGGAAGCAUUCCUUUGAAGCUUGUCUAGAAAAUUUUUAAAUUGUUUUCAUGUAUUUUUUUUUAAGAUCGUGAAAAAUCACAAGUAAUUCAAUUUCAUUGAUCAAGGAAUUCUUUUAACAUGAAAACCAAAACUUUGAUCGUUUUAAAGAAAAUCUUCACUCAAGAAUUUUAUCUUCAUUCUUUUGAUUUUGUCAUAGAAUUCUUUCAUUUAGAAAGCCAUUCCAUUGAUCUUGUCAAGGAAACUAUCGAUUUUGAGUUUUUUUUUUCAUUCCCUUUUUCUUUUGACGUCAUAUCCUUUAUGAUGGUGUUAAGGUUAGUUAAUGGUGGGUCAAACAGCUUUUUUUUUUCCUGAAGAAAUUGAAGAACAAUUAAAAGGCAACUCACAUCUCACACUUUUAGACCACCAUGCUCUCGAAACCUGUCAUUUACAUGGUGGCUAAGCCUAAACUCACCAAUUUAGGGACUCUCAAACCAUGCUAUGAUACUAUGAAAACUUUUUAGCAACAAUAUAAAGAAGGUAAGUUUCACUCUUAUUGAUUCACGGGCACAAAAAUUAAAUCUAUACAAGUAUUUGAAACAUGAAAAAGAAAUGAUAUAAUUAACAUAAUUUUGAAAUAAUGAUUGAUUAAAAUAAUUUAGUUAAUGAGUUUUGAGUAGUGCUACACAUCUCAAAUUAUUUAUCUCCAAAAAACUAUUCCAAAUGAUAUUGCAUUCAUUAAUUGAUCAAUGAGGAUAAUACAAUUUAUUCACUUAGAUAAUGUAAAGAGAUGCCAACCAAUCAAUGAAUGUUAUAUCAUUUUGGACGGAAUUUGGAAUAAAAAAUUUAGGAUGUCUAUCAUUACUCAUUAGUAUUUAUGUUGAUUUACUAUUAAUCUUUCUUAAUUAGUAAUUAAGAUUGAAAUAAUCGAUCAUGUAAUUGACUGCUUUGUUGCCAUCAAUAUUAUUUAAUUCUUAUUUUAUUUUUUACUUAAUAAAAUCUCUUUUCUUAAAGAUUAGUUGUUAUAAGAUGAUAAUCGAACAAAAUUGGUCAAGAUAUAUGAUUUCCCUAUAAUAUUUUAUGUAUUUUUACAUCAUUAAUAGUGAGUUUAUUAUAAAUCAUAGAUUUAAAUCUUUUAAUUUUAAUCAUUCAUUCAAUAUAAUGGAUAAAUAAUUAAUUAACUAAAAGAUAUCAUGUAAUUUAUAGGUUGCUAGUAAAUUUCUUAUCCUUCCAGCUACAAUUAAUUUUUAAUGAAAUUAAAGCAUUUCUUUAUGAAUGGAUGAGACAGUAUCAAACAAUUUCUUGAGCUCUAGAUCCAGCGCCUAGUACAAUUGAUGAAACAAUAAAUCAAUAUCAAUCGUAUAGCUUAAAUCAAUACCAAAAUGCAAUGGAAUAAGCAAUACUUGAGAACAACUUAAUUUUAAAUAAAAGAGCUUAAAAUAUUUUAUUUUGUUAUAUCUCUUUUUAUUUUUUAAAUUUAAAAUCACUUGUUUAACCGAUUUGUUAAUCGGUUAUAUCAUUUUAGAAAUAAUUAAUUUUUUAUUAAAAAAUAAUUUAAACUGUUAAUUAGAUUGCACGGUACAUAUUUUUUUAUAUUGUUAAUACUAUAAAAAAAUUACAACAUCAUGAAUAGAUCCAUCAACUUACUAAUGAGAUAGCCACUUUGGCCGAGUGGUGGACCAUACUCUUAAAGUUAACCAUGAUUAUGAGGACAGUGGUUCGAGUCUCUAUGGACUCACCCACCUUCAAUUAAGUAUAAUUGUGUGGAGUUAAUUUGUAAGUUUUUCUCCCUAGCGAAAUGCAAGUGGAGUGCAUUUCGCAGAGAUAUCCCUCAUUUAUGAGGAUUAUUUAUCUGGACAUGUAUUUUAUAUAAUUUAAUGUAAUAAUGUAAGUUCUAAUUAUAUAUUUGAUUGUAAAUAUUAAUGUAAUGAUUUGUUGUAAUAAUAAUUAUAAAUAUUUGUGUAAUAUAAUAAUUUGAUUUGUAAUCAAUAUUUAAAAAACAAAACUUAAUAAUAAGAUGCCGUAACGCGUUACAAAACCGCGCCUUGUGUCGAAUAAGUGACGAAAAUGUGAUCUAACCACAAGAGGGCACAAGACGAAGGGAAACCACCACACAUUUUAGUUGAGAAAAUUUAAUGUAGUCUAGAAGUUUCACUCACGUUAGCGGCACAAACAAUCAUUAUAGUACUUCGCUCUAUGUAUAAUUGACUGGUAAAAAAAACAAAAAAAAAGCAAACGAGUGGUUAUUAAAUGGGAAAUUUACAAAAAUAAUCAUAAAACUUUUGCUAUUUCCACAAUUAACCCUAUAAACUUUUUUUUAUCAACAUUAGCCAAACACACGCUUUUCUCCCCAAAUUACCUUUGUUUACAAACCAAAAGCAACUUUCUUUCUCCCCUUUUAUCAAACCAAACGCAUCUUUGCACUCUUGAAUCAUCACCGGCGACAGCAAAAGGCAACGAUAAACGCCGACGGCGAACGGUAAAAGUGAAAUUCGAUCAUAAUCCAUCCGGAUCCAACACCAAUCGGCAUCACUGAGUGGUAUCAAUUAUUAUCUGAACUUGCGAGAGAGUUUCAGUGUGGUUUGUCACGGGCUGCGUAAAACUCUACGAUUGGAGGUUAACUCACGCAUGCGGGCUCGCUUAGUACUCAAGGUGGGUACACUUAGAAGUGGGGUUGACUUAGAAAUGGGCCGCCAACAUAACAAGCCAUCCGGGGUGCGCUUAGCAAACCACCCACCAAGGCCCAAGAUCUAGAACUCUCUACAUAUUACUCAUUCACUAGAACAUUCUAGGACUCACCACUUGGGUCCCUAAAUAUUUUGCCACUUGUAGUAGAGUUCUCUAGAAUUAAGCACUCCACCCCCUAUAAAUAGGAGUGAGCACCCAUCAUGUUCAUAACCACCAACACACCCACACAACACACCUAGCACACUAGCACACAAGCUCUCUUGUACAAACACCCUUGUAAUCUUUCUAAGUGUAUAUAAUACAAUCACAUUCGGCCAUCUUACUCUUGCUUCCCAUAACAUUUUCUCCAAGUGUGUGUGUUUGACUUGUUUGGGGAGUAAUCAAGGCUUACUUGGCGACUCACGCGCUAAGGUCGCUCAAGCGCCGCACAUGACUUUUCUGCGCAAAAUUAUCAUCCCGCGACAAGUGGUAUCAGAGCUACGGUUUGCACCCACACGCAAACUAGUUCAUAGACGAUGGCCAAUCCUUCCAGCACAUUGCUAGAGGGCACACUCGGUGCGGAGGUACCGGAGCAAGCUCGUGGCCGUGAGGAGGGAGGACGCGGACAACCAAAGUCCCGAGGUAAGUCCAAAGCCCCUUCUAUGGAUGCAUUGGAACCUCGUGUUGCCACGCUCGAAACUUUAAUGGCUGCUGUCCAAGACACCAUUGAUACAUUAGAGGAGCGAGUCGAUGGCCUUGAGGGUGAGUAUGGCGAAUUCACAGCAGCCACCAAAGCCCUCAUGCAAGACCAAACCGACUCCCUUCGAGGGGAGUUCUGAGCGUUCCAUGACGAGCUGCUCAAUUUGCGUAGCUUUGUGCAAAAUGAGUUGCGUGCAGUCCGUGCGGAGGUCGAUGAGGUCCGCUCGGAUUGGGCUUGGCACAAGCGCACACUCAUGCCUAGUCCAGCUACGGUUCCCGCAAGCUCGAGUGAUGCGCACCGCAUUGACGUGCCCAAGCCCGAUACUUAUGAUGGUGCGCGCAACGCUAUUGUGGUGGAUAACUUCCUCUUUGAGCUAGAGCAAUAUUUUGAUGCCAUGGGUGUUCGUGACAAGGCAUCAAAGGUAGGCACUGCCCCUACAUUCCUCUGAGGUGUCGUGCAACUAUGGUGGCGGCAGAAACAUGGUGAGAUGGGCAAGGGCAUUUGCGCCAUCAACACAUGGGCCGAAUUUCAGCAAGAACUCCGCAAGCAUUUUGCCCCAAGCAAUGCGGAGAAGGAAGCACGAGCGCGGUUACGUCGGCUCAAGCAAAUGGGUAGCGUCCGCGAUUACAUCAACGACUUCACCACCCUUAUGCUUGAGAUUUCCAACAUGUCCGAUAAGGACUCUCUCGUCUACUUCCAAGACGGCCUUAAAGAUUGGGCCAAGACGGAGCUUGAUAGGCGUGGCGUACAAACUCUCGACGACGCCAUUGCCAUUGCGGAAUCACUCUCCGAUUACUCUGCCCAGCCCAAAGACAAGAGGCCUAGCCACGGCAAAGGUGGGGGAGAGGGCCGGAAGGACAAGAGCCGCAACCGCAAGGAAUGGGGAUAGAAAACGCCUCCAAGCAGCAAGAGCGGACAAAGCAAGACAGAAAAACAGCAGCCGCCUAAGCCUCGAAGCCCAUGUUUCAUUUGCAACGGCCCUCAUUGGGUGCGUGAUUAUCUGGAGAAAAAGUCGCUUAGCGCCCUCGCCGCUCAGCUCAAGGGCGACUCUCCAUCGACACCGGAAGAACCCCAACCUAGAGUGGGUUCCCUCAAACGCCUUGGCGCACUCGAAAGCCGUCCGCCCACAGCCACGAGGAAAGGGCUCAUGUAUGUGAGUGCCACAGUCAAUGACCAAGCUGUUCGGGCAUUGCUCGACACUGGAGCCACACACAACUUCAUCUCGGAAGAAGAGGCUAAGCGCCUAGGCCUAAAGGUGAUGAAGGACGGAGGCACAAUGAAGGCGGUAAACUCACCCGCCAAGCCCAUUGCGGGCACCGCACAAGGAGUGCGCGUUACUCUUGAGACGUGGAGCAGAAAGCUCGACUUCUCGAUCGUGCCCAUGGACGACUUCAAGAUGGUCCUCGGCAUGGAGUUCUUCGACCGAGUCCAUGCGUUCCCACUGCCGGCCACGAACUCCCUAAGCAUCCUCGACGGGAGUAUGGCGUGCAUGGUCCCAGCCGAGCGCUCGAAGACCACGAACAAGGCGCUCUCCGCCAUGCAUUUCAAGAAGGCUUUUCGGAAGGACCCUAGCUUCUUGGUCUUCAUCCGGGAGGUGAAUAAUGAAGAAGAUCGAGAAGACUUGCCAAGCCAAGCCCCUCCGUUCAUCCAAGCCGUCCUCCACGAGUUCAAGGACGUUAUGCCUCCGAAGCUCCCGAAAAAGCUCCCACCAAGUCGAGAGGUGGAACAUGAGAUUGAGCUAGAGCAAGACGCGAAGCCGCCAGCCUUAGCGCCUUACCGCAUGGUGCCACCUGAGCUAGAAGAGUUGUGGAGGCAACUCAAGGACUUGCUUGAUGCGGGCUACAUCUGCCCAUCCAAGGCUCCGUUCGGUGCACCCGUACUCUUUUAAAAGAAGAAGGAUGGAUCUCUACGCAUGUGCAUCGACUAUCGGGUGCUCAACAAGAUUACAAUCAAGAACAAGUAUCCGAUUCCCUUGAUCGCGGACUUGUUCGAUCAACUCGGCAGCCCACGGUACUUCACCAAGCUCGACCUACGGUCCGGGUACUACCAAGUAUGCAUCGCCAAGGUUGAUGAACCAAAGACGGCGUGCGUGACCAGGUAUGGCUCCUUCGAAUUUCUUGUUAUGCCGUUUGGUCUUACCAAUGCACCGGCAACAUUUUGCACUCUCAUGAACAAAGUCCUCUAAUCGUUUCUCGACUGCUUUGUUGUGGUGCACUUGGACGACAUUGUGGUAUACAACACCACACUUGAGGAACAUGCCCAACAUUUACGGCAAGUUCUCCAAGUACUACGCAACAAUGAACUCUACCUCAAAGUGGAGAAGUGCUCGUUUUCCCAAUGAGAGGUGGAGUUUCUUGGCCACAAGAUAGCGGACGGGAAACUCAUGAUGGAGGACUCGAAAGUAAAGGCUAUACUUGAAUGACAACCUCCCACCAAUGUACUCGAACUCCGAUCUUUCCUCGGAUUGGUGAACUAUUACCGCCGCUUUAUCAAAGGGUAUUCGGCUACAGCAGUACCCUUGACCGAGCUAUUGAAGAAGUACCGCACGUGGCAUUGGUCCAAGGAAUGCCAACGAGCUUUCGGGGAGUUAAAGAAGGCUAUCUCCAAACAGCCCGUCCUCGCACUUCCGGACCAUACAAAGCCAUUCGAAGUUCAAACGGAUGCAUCCGACUUUGUCAUAGGCGGAGUACUCAUGCAAGAAGGCCACCCUAUAGCAUUCGAGAGCCGGAAGCUUAACGACACAGAACGCCGCUACACCAUGCAAGAGAAGGAGAUGACAGCCAUUGUCCAUUGUCUACGUGUGUGGCGACACUACUUACUUGGCUCACACUUCGUGAUCUUGACGGACAACGUAGCCACGAGCUACUUCCAAACACAAAAGAAGUUGAGCCCCAAGCAAGCUAGGUGGCAAGACUUUCUUGCGGAUUUGAUUAUAGGCUCGAGUGCAAGCCCGGAAAAGCCAACGUUGUUGCGGAUGCUCUAAGCCACAAAGCGGAGUUGGCUACACUUAGCAUGAGCCAGCCGAAGUCUGAUCUCGUCACACGCAACAAGGAAGACCUCCAACAGGAUCCGUUAGCGAAAAACUUGUUGGGAAAGGUGCUUGAAGGAAAGACGAGACGAUUUUGGCAAGAAGAAUGCAUCCUCCUCACCAAGGGAGAUUGAUUAUUUGUGCCAAGGUGGGGAAAUUUACGGCGAGAGGUGAUCAAGGAGUGCCAUGACUCGAAAUGGGCUGGCCACCCCGGAGUAGAGCGCACGACUGCACUCGUCCAAGCCUCCUACUUUUGGCCACACAUGAGAGAUGACAUUGAGGCCUACGUGCGGACAUGUCUCGUGUGCCAACUAGACAAGGCGGAUCGCCAACUUCCAGCGGGACUGUUGGAGCCCUUACCAACAGCAUCAAGACCAUGGGAGAGUGUCACCAUGGACUUUAUCUCGGCUUUACCCAAGUCCGAGGGGUGCGGAAGCAUUAUGGUGGUAGUCGACCGUUAUAGCAAAUAUGCGACUUUCAUCGCUGCACCAACCGAUUGCAAAGCGGAUGAGGCUGCCCACUUAUUCGUCAAGCACAUCAUCAAGCUUUGGGGAGUUUCGAAGAGCAUCGUGAGUGACCAGGAUCCACACUUCACUGGACGCUUUUGGAUGGAGCUCUUCAAGAUGUUGGGAACCGACCUCAAGUUCUCAACAAGCUUUCAUCCGCAAAUGGAUGGACAGACCGAGCGUAUCAACAGCCUACUCGAGAUGUAUAUUAGACAUUAUGUAGUGCUCACCAGCGAGAUUGGGCUAAGUUGCUGGACGUUGCCCAAUUCUUAUACAACCUACAACGGAGCGAGGCUACGGGCAAGAGUCCAUUCGAGAUCAUCAUGGGAUUUCAGUUGAGGACGCCCAACGCCAUAGCUUCGACCUAUGAAGGAAAGAGCCCAGCAGCACACAAACUCGCUCGCGAAUGGCAUGAAGAAGCGGACAUCACGCAACCAUAUCUUGACAAGGCCGCACGGAGAAUGAAAAAGUGGGCUGACUCAAGGAGAUGCCAUGUCGAGUACAAGGAAGGCGACCAAGUGAUGGUGAAGCUCUUACCCCAACAGUUCAAGACGUUGCGGAAAGUCCACAAAGGGCUAGUGAGGCGAUACGAAGGGCCUUUCGAAGUGUGGGCAAAGUCUCCUACCAACUCCAACUUCCACCAAGACUCAAAAUCCACCCAGUCUUCCACGCGAGCUUGCUCAAACCAUACCACGGAGAUGCGGGAGAUCCAAGCCGAGGCAAGUCAAGACGUGCCCCGACUGCCGUUGUCACCGCAUCUGACAAGGAUGUGGAGUACAUCCUUGCGGAUCGAGUAAUCCGAAGACGGGGCAUACCGGCUUACAACGAGUACUUGAUGAAAUGGAAGAACCUCCCCGAGAGCGAAACAACAUGGGAGAGCGAAAAUGACCUUUGGCAAUUCGCGGCAAUUUGCGGAACAUGUACAGCUCUACAAGCACAACAACACGACGAGGACGCCACGGACUUAGGUGGGGGAGGAUUGUCACGGGCCGUAAAAAACUCUACGAUUGGAGGUUAACUCGCGCAUACAGGCUCGCUUAGUACUCAAGGUGGGUACACUUAGAAGUGGGGUUGACUUAGAAAUGGGCCGCCAACAUAACAAGCCAUCCAGGGUUCGCUUAGCAAACCACCCACCAAGGCCCAAGAUCUAGAACUCUCUACAUAUUACUCAUUCACUAGAACAUUCUAGGACUCACCACUUGGGUCCCUAAAUAUUUUGCCACUUGUAGUAUAGUUCUCUAGAAUUAAGCACUCCACCCCCUAUAAAUAGGAGUGAGCACCCAUCAUGUGCAUAACCACCAACACACCCACACAAUACACCUAGCACACUAGCACACAAGCUCUCUUGUACAAACACCCUUGUAAUCUUUCUAAGUGUGUAUAAUACAAUCACAUUCAGCCAUUUUACUCUUGCUUCCCAUAACAUUUUCUCUAAGUGUGUGUGCUUGACUUGUUUGGGGAGUAAUCAAGGAUUACUUGGCGACUCACGCGCUAAGGUCGCUCAAGUGCCGCAUGGGACUUUGCUGCGCAAAAUUAUCAUCCCGUGAUAGGUUGCUUGCUGUGAGUCGUGGGACAAUCUGCCUCAAGCUUCGUGCGACAGGUGCCUGUCGCACGAAGCUUGGUGCGUCAGGCAUGAAGCUAUUAAAUGAUCAGAUUGAAACUUGGACCAUUAUCUUAAUAUUGUACCUGCUAAACCAGGCUGGUGUCUUUCAAACUUGUAAGUUGGAGGGAAUCUUAUGAUUGCUUCUCGCAUGCCUUGGAAAACUUUGCCUGCUUUCAUCUCUGCCCGGAGCUGAUCUUUUUCUCUCAGCUAAUCGAAGCAUCUUUGGGAAACAAAGUCUCUUGCUUCAUCGUAAGAUAUUCCAAAAAGUCUAUAGUUCAAAUCACCAAAAAAAUAUAGCCAUAUCUACUUCAGCUAAAUCAGGCUUUGUUUCUUCAGUAUUCAGAGUAGUAGUAGUCUGAGGAAGCACCAGAAUAGCAGUAAACCAUAGCGUCAUAGAGAGGACUAGAAUAUGAAAGGCUGGAGACUAAGAUGUUAUGAGUAAAAUAAAUCAGAACAAGGACGUACAUUUGAAGUCUUCAUUAUGUUGACGGCAGUUGAGACACCAGCUGCAGCAAAAAGCACCAAUGGGAAGCCAAAAAGUAAAAAUAAAUAUGUGCAGAAGGCAAGAGAGCAAUACAAAAACAGGUAUGGCACCAUACCAAAUGCAGAAUUAAGUGUACUUGUCGAUCUACUGAAGACCAUAUUUCUAUAUAUGUGAUCAUAAUCAACAUUCCUACGGUUGACAGCUUCCAAGUGUGCUGCUAGGUGAUAGUUCAUAAAGCAAAUAGUCUUGUCGUAGACUCUGAUUCUCAAACCUACCCCUCCCUGUGUGGCCAGAAGUAGUGGUGUCAACAUAUCUUUCGUUUAUGAUAGAAGGGAUUACGAUUAUAUCACCUAAGCUUCAAUAGUGCAUUAUGCAGACAAGUGUUCUUUUUCUUCGGCAUGUAAAUCACGGUUCAAGACUUACUUGCAUAUAAUCAUUUGGAUCACAUAGGCAAAACAAAAAGCUGACAGCAUAAAAUAAAUUUUGGUUUCAAUGUGUCGCACGAAGCUAUGUGCGACAUGCGCCUGUCGCACGAAACUUGAGGCAUAUUGUCCAACGACUCACAACAAGCAACCGCACUGAAACUCUCUCGCAAGUUUAGAAAAUAACUGAUAUCACUCAGUGAUGCCGAUUGGUGUUGGAUUCGGAUGGAUUAUGAUCGGAUUUCACUUUUACCGUUCGUCGUCGGCGUUUACCGUUGCCUUUUGCCGUCGCCGGUGAUGAUUCAAGAGUUCAAAGCUGCGUUUGGUUUGAUAAAAGGGGAGAAAGAAAGUUGGUUUUGGUUUGUAAACAAGGGUAAUUUGGAGAGAAAAGCGUGUCUUUGGCUAAUGUUGAUAGAAAAAGUUUAGAAGGUUAAUUGUGAAAAUAGCAAAAGUUUUAUGGUUAUUUUUGUAAAUUUCCCUUAUUAAAUGCACAUGUCAAUUUCUUUGCGUGCAUAAUGUGUAACCUAUGCUAGAGAGAACUUUUUUUUUUUAAGGGUGGGCCAGUUGAACGUAUGAAUUUAUUUUCUACUGAUUUUUUUAAUUAAAAUUUUUAUUAUAUAAAUAUUUUUUAAAAAUUAUUUAAUUAACUGUCUCUUAUCUUUCUCAUUUCAAUUUCAUAAAUUCUUAUCAAUUUAUUUAAAUGUAUUCUUUUACCUAUAAAUAAUUGAUAUCACUAACAAAAGGUGAAAAUAAAUAGAAAGAAUAAAAUAAAUAUCACUCAUCAUUUAAAAAUAAAUAUCAACAAAUUUUUAUCAACCAUAAAAGUUUGUCAAUAUAGAAAUUAAUUUUUACCAAGCACAAAAACCUAUGAAAAUCAAGAAAAAGAAUUCUCAUAUAUAGAAAAAAUGAAAUAGAAAUCGUGAUAUACUAAGAAAGAACAAAAAAUAAAUUUAAAAGAAAGUAAAAUUAAGUGUUUAGUUUGUAAAAUAUGAGAGUAGAGAGAGAGAAUAUGCAAUUGUAAGUAGGACUGCACAUUAUCUAGUUUGGUUUGAUUCAGCCUAGGAACCAAACUGAACUGAAACCAAUCAGUUCUUUAAAACUGGAACUAAAUAUGAACCGAACUGAACUGAAGUUUUCGGUUCGGUUCGAUUGAGUACGGUUUUGAAAUCUGGUUCAUUUCGGUUUGAUUCUAGUUUUGAUUAGCUUGGACCAGGAUCAUGAAGCCCUUUUGUUAGUGAUUGUUCCUCAUUGAUUUCAGAUCGAAGCUUGUAUUAAGCUCUAAUAAUUAGGCAUCAAAGUGAAUAAAACUAAAAGAAAUAAGCAAUCUUGAUUCAUUCAACCAUUUAUUAUUUUGUUUAUAAAGCACCCAACAAAUUAAACUACAUCUAUGAAUCCCAACUCACAAAAUUAAGGAAAAAGGUGUGAAAUAAAUUAUUGAGCAUGACAGUUGCUACAAGCAUACUUAAAAUCAAUUCAAUUGAAAACAAUAGCCUCUCCACGAACUUCAUGAAAUCUAUGUGGAUGUUUCAGAUAAUUUGUAAUUGUGAACCUCGCGUUUCCAUUUGCUUCCAAGUCUUUCCAUCAAAAUCAAUUUAAUUUAAGGAAUAAUCAAUGAACAUAUAAAAAAAGUCAACACAAGUUGCACAACUCCACCAGCGCGAUAGCUUCGGUAAGCUGCCAAUGGCACGAGUGUGACGAACAUGAGGCAAGGCUGACAUGAGCGCAACGAGAUGAACUACGACAGGCUGGCUGUGGUGACGGCGACAAGUUGACACCAGCACAACAGUAACAACGACAAGCUGAUACAAGCGCGACAGCAAUGACAACAGACUGGCUGAUAAGUGACGGUGGUGGAUGUGUGUGUGUGUUGGCGAAAGUGAGAGAGAUGGUGAGGGUUUUUGUGUGUGAAAAAGAUGAAGUGAGUGCAGAUGUGUUAGUGUGUGUGAGUUGUGAGAGAGGUGGUGUGUGUGCGUGAGAGAGAUUUUAGCGUUUAGAAUUAUUUUACUUAUUUAUAUUUUUUAUUUUAAUAUUUAUUUAGUUUUAAGUGAAAGAACCGAUUUGUUCGACGGUUCAGUUCGGUUUUGAGCUUAAUCGAAUGCAAACCAAUUUAGUUCGCAAAUUUUCAAAUUAUUUGGCUUUUGUCCUUAGAACCGAACUAAAUUGAAAUUUUUUAGUUCAGUUCGGUUCGACAAAAAUCGAACCGUCUACCCAUCCCUAAUUGUGAGGUGUAGAGAGAAAGAUAUUGGUGAAGGAAAUUUUAAAUUUUUAAUAAUGAAUUUAUUUUUUAAAAUGGGUGUAGAGAGAAAUUUAUUAUGACUUUAUUUUUUUAUAUAAAAGAGUGGGGCUAUUUUUUAAAAAUGAAUUUAUUAUAUAUUCUUAUUAGACCUUGAUAUAUAAAAAUUUUACUAUAAAAUAAACACGAGAAAAAGUUUGCAAUGAAUACAGAAUAUCAAUAUUAAAAAUAAGCUUUAAAAACCAAACCUUAAUACUAAAACAAGUUUGAAUAGGCCUCCAAAAUAUAAAAUAUCCGUCCAACUAAUUUUUAGGUAAUGUAGAUUCCAAAAUACCGGAGUCUAACAAAUGGAUAAGAAAUCAAUUACGGGAAAGUGAGGAUCUAAAUAAUAAUAAGAAAAAAAUGGCAUUUUCUAAUAAAUAAACAACAAAUUCACAAAACCACUCAACUAAAAUGGCCAGAGCUUCAAGUCCUCAGAAAGUAUUGUAAGAGUUUAGUUCCUUCUUUAGUUAUGAAAAAUAAUUAAGUGAAAACAGUCUUCUCUCUUUCAAAAUAUUCGAGGGUAAAAUCUAGUAAUUGUCUGAUUGUAAAUAUUAGACAAUUAGAAAGGCUAAAAUAUGGGCAGUGUUAUAUAAGAUUUAUGGUGCGUUUACUAAACCGAAAUUAGAAUGGGCUAGAAUAAGAAAAGGUUGGAAUCAGAAUGAACUAAAAUGGGAAUGAUAAAUGGGAAUUAAAAUAACUUGUUACUUAAGCUAUAGGAAUCGAAAUCGGAAUGAGCUCCAUUCCCAUUAAUGUGUUUAAUUUAUCCUAGAAUCAGAGUGGACUAUUUUAAAUUGCUAAAAUAUCCUUUGUUAAUUGUUAUCCCUAAUAUUAUUGGUAUCUAUUAUAAUAUUAACAAUAAUAAGAAUAAAAAUAAUAUUAAAACUGAAAAUAAUAAUAAUAUAGACAAUAAUGAUAGAUUAACAUAAUAAUUAAAAUAAUAAAAUAAAUAAAUUUUUAUAAUAAUGAUAAUAGUGACAACAAAAUGAAGGAUAAUAAUAAUACUAAUAAAAUUAAUAGAUUAUGAAAAUGAUGAUAAUGAUGAUGAUGAUGAUGAUUAUUAUUAUUAAUAUUAAUAUUAUUAAAUAAUAAGGGACCUAUGUGUAAAUAUUACAACAUUCACAGGUGUAAUUAUAUAAAAUUUGUAUAGAUCAAAAUGAACAGAUGGCAAACUUUUCCCUGUAAGUUACCAUCCGAUUCCACAUUAGUAAUAAGCAAAUAAAUUGAAAUUAAAAUAAUAAUAAAUUGGCGGUGACGAAUUCCUCUCCAUCAAAGGCUGGUUUCAUCUCGGUUCGUGGAUGUGCUCGUGUUGACCAUUUUAGUUUUCACCGCUCGUCUUCACUGCCGAUUUCAAGCUCCUCGUCACUAGGGAUGGCAAUGGAUUGGAUCUAACCCAAGAUCCACGUGAUCUAAAUUCAAUCGGAUUGGAUUUGAGUUGAUUUAAAAUAAAUUUGUAUCGAAUUUGAAUAUUGAUGUCUGGAUUUAAGACGGAUUUGAAGUAGGUCUGGAUCUUUCUUAAUAUCUAAAUCCAUAUCCAUAUCCACUCAUCUUUUAAUUUAAUUUAUUUUAAAAGUUUCUUAACAAUUGUGGAAUUAUAAUGAUAAUAAAUUUUAUUCAUAGCAUAUUAGUGAUAUUUACCAUGCAUUUAAACUCUUAAAACUUAAAGGUUAGUUUUGUAAAUUUAAAGGUCAGCCAGCUCUAAAGAAUGUACAUGCAAUAUUCAAAUUGCAAGCCGAGUAAUACAACUUGACAAUUUAUUUUAUUAUAUUGGUCAAAUAGUUUUUAAGGAAUAUAGUUAUUAAUAUAUUUCAUAAUAAAAAUAAUAAACGACUGAGUAUAAAUCAUAUUUAAUUUAUAUGUCAUUAUCUAAUAUUAUAGGAAUGAGGGUGGAUGUAUCGUGGAUAUUAGAAUGAUGAAGGAGACAAUAAAAUAUUAGAUUGAUUUUACUCCUGCAAUUACUUUUAAAAGAUAUUUUAUUAUCUUUCUUAUUUGUUGUUUUGGUGUAAAAGUAUAAGUUACAAUAUUUAUUAUAUUUUUUAGAAAAAUUAUAUAAUUUAUUUGUUAUCAAUACAUUUUAACCUUCAAUUUUUAAUCUAAAAAACUAUUACUUUUUAAUUGCUGAGUUUUAGAAUUCAUGACGGAUCUAUAGCAUAUUUGAAUUUUAAUUUUUUUUCACAUUUGGAGCAGAUAUAGAUAUUUAUUUCUUUUUUGGAUCUAGAUAUGGAACGAAANNNNNNNNNNNNNNNNNNNNNNNNNNNNNNNNNNNNNNNNNNNNNNNNNNNNNNNNNNNNNNNNNNNNNNNNNNNNNNNNNNNNNNNNNNNNNNNNNNNNGAAAUCAGUAACGACUUCUUUAUAGCCAACAAACUGGAUAUGACGAUGAUGAUGAUGAUGGUUGAUUUUGGCAGCAACAGUGACAAGACACGGUGAUGGCAUUCGGCUUGGUGGAGCUAUGAUGAGAGGAGUAUCGUGGCUUAGGGAUUUGGCCUUUUAUUUUUUAUUUUUUUUUAUUUUUUUUGGUAUUCAUAUUUUUUUCAUUUAAAAAGGGAUAACUUGGAAAUAUUGAAAUGUUAAUAGGGUAAGAACAUGAAAUCUUAGGAGGGGGAGAUUCAUUCCCAACCCCUUGGAAGCCAAUUUCUCAUUCCCUAUUUCCAAAUUCAGGUAGGCCCCAUGAUUUUGAUUAUGAUUCUUAUCUUCGUUUUACGAAAUAAACACUGUCAAUAAUUGCAAUUCCGAAUUCCGAAUCCCUAAUCGAAGAAUUAAACACACUAUUAAUGUAAAUGGAGCAGAGAUCUCUCGAAUAAACUAGUUUCAGUAAUUGCUCAGCAGCCUUCUCCCUUUUGAAAUUUGAGGGUAAAAUCUGAUAAUUGUCUUAUUGUAAAUAUGAUACUAUUAGAGAGAAUGUAAUCUAGACAGUACUGUAAGAUUUAAUAUAAAUGGAGUAGACAUGCCUCAAAUAAUCUAGAUCUAGUAAUUAUUUAAUGUAAAUAGAGUAGAUAUCCCUAAUAAUUGUUUUACGUAUAUGGUGUAGAUAUCUCUUCAAUAAACCAAUCACAAUAUUUGUGUAAUUAUAGAUAUCAAUAUUUAUCGUAAAUUAGUUCUAAUAAUUAUCUAUUUAUAAAUAUUAAUAAUAGUCGAUGUUAGUUUCAAUAAUUAUCUAUUUAUAAAUAUUAAUAAUAGUCGAUGUAAUCUUAACACUAGUCUCGUAAUAGAUUUGAUGUUGCUGAUGGUCAUAAUAAAUGUUCAGAAAAAAAAUGACAUAUUAUAGGAAAUAAAAGACAAACGCAUUGGCUUCUUGCUUUGCCAGUCAACCUGCAACUAUGAAUGAGAACCAUAGCUUUUGGCUGUUUGGUUCAAUGAACUUGUUUAUGUUCCUAAACACGUAAUAAAUCCAUUUGAAAGAGUAUAUUAAUUGACAAUACACAUACCAAACUAUACUCCUAUUUAAUGCUUUCCUCUGCACAGUGGAAUAUGUGAUUUUGAUGUAGUACUAAACCACGUGAAAAUGUGGAAAAUUAUGUAUGGUACAAAGACAAGUCAAUAGCAUAAAUAAUCGUUUAUUCUCUAAGUUUUUAUUUAAAUUUUUUUUAAUUCUUAUAUUUUAAAAAUUAUCUCAAGAAAUUCUUAUUUUAAAUAUGAUAUAUUUUUAUCCUUAUUUUUUUGACAACUUUUCUAAAAAUAUCCUUGCAAUAAUCUUUAUAAAAAGAAAAAAAAUGUUAAUUUAUUAUAUUAACCAUAUAAGUAAAUAAAAAUUAAUGUAGAAAUUUCUAUUAUUAUUUUACUUUUAAGGUUAAUUUGGUUUUCGUAAAUAGAAAUUAUUGUAAAAAUUAUUGCAUGAAGAUUAUUGUAAAAGUAAAGAAAAAGUAAUGGCAAGAGUGUAACAUAUUUAAUAGUAGGAAGUUUACCCAUUUCAAAUUACAUGUGCAUUUUAUUUUUAAAAAAUUAGUAGACAAACAGAUAAAAACAUUGUUGAUUAGCAGGAGCUUUUGUAGUAAUUAAAUAUGUCAUGUUAUUACUAAUGGGUUGUAUUAUUUCCAAUUUUUUGAAGCACGGCAAAAGAUUUUCAUUUUCAUGCAAUGAAUAACAAAGAGUCAAAUUUCUCUGCGUUCAUACGUGGCCAUAAAACACCACGAGAAAAACGUUAUUCAUAAGCAGUAUUCAUCAACUUCUCUACUUAUAAAUUGCCUUCAAAUUACACGACAGAAGCCCAAUAUAAUUCACUCUAACACUUGUUUCAGCAUGUCUUCUCUUGAUCACUCUAUUCCUGUGCCAGCAAUCAGUAGAGCAUUUGAAGUAGUGGAGAGCAGUAGUAAUAAUAAAACCGCAACUCAUAGUAUUAAUGUUAAUGAAGAUGAUGGAGAUGGUGUUUUCUUAACUUGGCAAGAUCUGUGGGUUACGGUUCCCGAUGGUCAGAAAAAAGGCAACAGAUCAAUCCUUCAAGGUCUUACUGGCUACGCAAGACCUGGGGAGCUUUUGGCUAUUAUGGGUCCUUCUGGUUGUGGAAAAUCUACUCUUCUUGAUGCUUUAGCUGGUAUUUAAAUUUUUUAUAACCACUAUUUUUUUUUUUUGCCAAGUAAUUGUGUUUGAUUUCUAAAGGAAUGAAAAAUAGCUAAGCUAUCAAAAAAAAAAAAAAUUAGUAUUUUUUUGCCAAGUAAUUGUGUUUUUCUAGUUUAUGCAUAAUUUUAACAUGAAAUGCAAAAAAUUAAAAAUUAAUUAUAAAAUAGAGUAACACUUAUCAAACAUCAAACAACUCAACUUCUUUCUUGCAUAUGUAUAUGAAUUUGAAACUCCAAGCUUCUUAUUUCUUUUGAAAAAAUUCUAUCACCUAAAUAGUAGUCACUCAUUAAUUAAAUACAAAUUACAUUCAUCUUAUUUACAUAUAUAUCUCUGUGUGUGUACAAAUAAUUUUUAACUCAUGUUUAAACACUUUAUUAUGUUUUAAUAUAGGAUUUAAAUCUAAUGUUGAGCUGAGUUAUGCUCAACUUUAUAUAAUUUACUAUUACAAAUACAUGUUUAAAGACAUAUAAGAUUAAGAUUUAAAUUAAUUUUAUACUAUUAUCUAACAAUUAUUAAUUAUAUUUUUUAAAAAAAUUAAUAAAAAGCUCAACUUAAUACUGAAUCUAAAUGCUUUAAUUGAAGGCUUGCAAUUUUGUCAAAAUUUACAUUAAAAUUGUGUAAAUUGAACAUACCCGAGAUAUAAACGAAUCAAACCUCCCGGGCCCCCGAGUUUUCAACCUUUUUUUUCGCUACUUAUGAUGGUGGGCCCCACUCUGUCGAUCUUUUUAUUUCUUACCCCACUUUAUCAAUUGUGGACCCUCCAUAUUGGCCUUUUUCUGAUUUAUUUUUAUUUGUUAUGGUUUGGUCAACGUUGAAGAAUUUAAGAAAAAUAAAAUAAAUUGCACAAUCGAAAGGUCGAUGCUGUGAUUACAAAGCAGCUUUCGUUAUGUCAUAACUAUUUUACAGUUUUCUCUGGGAAUUCUUGUUACAGUUUUAUUAAUUCGUUUUAUCACAACACCAAAUUUUCCGUUAAAUUAAUUAAGUUGUUCGUUAGAUUAACAACGGAUUUCAUAUAAAUUAAAUAUAACAAAUAAAUUUUAAUACUUGCAACAAAAAUUUGAUAGAUCCUGACACAAGUUAUUCUAGUUAGAUUUUUUAAAGUUACAUUUCUUAUAACUUAUAAUUAAGUUUCUUAGUAUAAAAAUGAGUAAUAAAAUAGUGAGGCCAAGUAAACCAGUGGGUGAAUUUUACUUAAAAUGUAACUUACUGAGAUUGAUUCUAGUGUGAGGACAACUUCAAAUAAAUUUAGUGAGGACAUCUUGAAAUAAAUUUAAUAGACAUAUAUCUUUUUACCCCCAGCUGGUGCCUGACAAAGGUUUUCUUUCUAGCAAUUUUAUUUAUGAUUGCAAAAUUAAUUUGUAUUUUACUCGUCCCUCUAUUUUUUCUAAAAAAUUUAUUUUAAAAAAAAUUAACAGACAUGCAUGUAUUUCGCAGGAAGACUAGGAUCGAACACAAGGCAAGCAGGAGAAAUUCUAAUUAAUGGGCGAAAACGGGCACUGGCUUAUGGAACCUCGGUACAAAUGUUACCAUUAGCAUAAUUAUUUAACUACUUUUUAAAUUUUUGUUUAGCAUUCAAUUUUCGGAUUCAUAUCCAGAUUUUUUUUAAAAAAAUAUAUAUUAAGAAUUGGUCAUAGUAGUAGUAUUCUGAUAAUGUGAAUGUCUGGAUUUUACAAAAUUCGAAUUUGAAUUAAAUCAGAGUUAUAGGUUAUUGUAUAAUUUUGAUUCUAAUUUAAAUCUGAAUUUUAUAAAACUCGGACGACCGUACGACUUAGUAAUACAAUUUCCUCUAUUUAAUUCAAUAUUCUAAUUUAUUCUGAAUUCGCAAAUUAAUGAUGAACUCAGGCAUAUGUGACACAAGAUGACGCUUUGAUCACUACACUGACGGUUAGUGAAGCAGUGUACUACUCAGCUCAGCUGCAAUUGCCGGACACGAUGACCAAAUUACAGAAGAAAGAAAGAGCAGAAAUGACAAUAAAAGAAAUGGGGCUACAAGAUGCCAUGAAUACAAGAAUUGGAGGCUGGGGAGCUAAAGGCCUUAGUGGUGGUCAAAAGAGGAGAGUUAGCAUUUGCAUUGAAAUGUUGACUCGACCAAAGCUUCUAUUUCUUGACGAGCCAACAAGCGGACUUGAUAGUGCUGCUUCAUACUAUGUAAUGAGCAGGAUUGCUAAGCUUGAUCAAAGAGAUCAUGGAGUGGGAUCAAGAACAAUGAUAGCAUCAAUCCAUCAACCUAGCAGCGAAGUUUUUCAGCUUUUUCACAACCUUUGCCUUCUUUCUUCCGGUCAAACUGUCUAUUUUGGUCCAGCUUCUGCGGCAAAUGAGGCAAGUUCAUUUCCCCACAAUGUUCAGAACCCAUCAAAACCUCGGUGCUGCCAAAAAGAAAAAAAAAAAUAAAUAACUUUCACCUUUUUAAACUUAAACUACUAUACCUAUAGAAAUUUGGAUUGAUCCACAGGGAGUUAACUAUUUUAAGGCUAAAAUAGUAAAAUGAAAAGUGUAAUUUUUUUAACUAACAUAAGGUUUUGAUAGUUUUUGAAACAUGAUUAGAGAACUGAUUGGCUUAAUUACUAACAUCAUUUUCCCAAAUAAAACUUUAACUAACGUGCUUGUUUGCUUUCAAUUACAUGCAGUUUUUUGCUUUGAAUGGCUUCCCUUGCCCAGCCCUCCAGAAUCCAUCUGAUCACUUUCUUAAAACUAUAAACAAAGAUUUCCAGAAGGUAAGCUUUUUUUCUUUAUUGUAUACUUGCUUGCAUGCUUGCUUGCGCGCUUUUAGGUGAAGUGACUUAUCCAAUUCAACACAAACCUGACAAAAAGAAAAAAAAAAAAAGUUAACGAAAGAUCUUAUAGGCUUUUGUUAUCAACAGGAUAUCGAAGAAGGUUUAGCUGGAGUAAUACCGACCGAGGAAGCAAUUGAUAUUCUUACAAAAUCUUAUAAAUCCUCUGACAACUAUCUGCAAUUGCGAAGCCAGGUAGCUGAAAUAUGCAAGGCACAGGUGAGCAGACAAACAAAAUUAUUCGAUUACUUUCACACCUUAUGAGAACUUUGAAAAAACAAAAAAAAGAAUAGUGUGAGCACCACCAAACAAAGAGGCUGAAACCCACGCCACCGUGCCCCUGGGGCUACAUUCCUUAUGACUAUCUCAAUGAAAAAAAAAACUAUAUAAAUAAAGAUUGACAUUGAAAGGAAUUUACAUGAUCACAUCAAUUCACAUGCGUUACAGGAUUCUGGAGCUCUGGAGAAAAAGAGUACCCAUGCUGACUUUCUCACUCAAUGCAUAGUUCUCACAAGCAGAUCUUUUGUGAACAUGUAUCGUGAUCUAGGUUACUACUGGUUUCGCCUAGGUGUUUAUGUCUUAUUGGGAAUAGGUCUUGCGACUGUAUUUAGCAAUCUUGGGACUGACGAUAAUUCAAUUCAGGUGAGCAUAAAAUCUAUUUUUAUUAAUCACUGUGAAUUACCAGAGAUUCAUUAUUUUGUUCUGAUUAAUUAAUUAAUUUCAGGCAAGAGGUUCGCUACUCAUGUUUGUAGCUUCAUAUCUAACCUUCAUGACCAUUGGUGGAUUCCCUUCUUUUGUUGAGGACAUGAAGGUACGUAAGCAUACCCAUAUUAGAAUUUUGUAUAUCUCUUUUCGUUAAAAGCACUAAAUUUUUCUCUUACUUUUCAUCUGAGACUAAAUUUGCGUGUGUGUGUUUGGGUGUGUGUAUACAGGUAUUUGAGCGAGAGAGACUAAACGGGCACUACGGUGCCACUGCGUUUGUGUUUGGCAACACAUUUUCUGCGCUGCCAUACUUAGCUCUCAUUUCAUUGAUUCCUGGAGCGAUAGUUUAUUACCUUCCGGGACUUCACAAAGGAUAUCAACACUUCAUAUACUUUGUUUUGUUAUUGUUUGCUUGCAUGUUGCUCGUCGAGAGCCUAAUGAUGAUCGUUGCAAGCUUGGUGCCCAAUUAUCUGACGGGCAUAAUAACAGGAGCUGGAAUUCAAGGCCUUAUGAUAUUAGGCGGCGGAUUUUUUCGAUUGCCAAAUGAUCUUCCUCAUCCAUUUUGGAAAUACCCAUUAUAUUAUAUUGCUUUCCAUAAAUAUGCGUACCAAGGAAUGUUCAAGAACGAGUUUGAAGGUCUGAAAUUUGACAACAAUCUAGAUGGCGAACAGGUUUUGAGAGAUAAAUGGCAACUGCAAAUGGGAUAUUCUAAGUGGGUUGAUCUUGCUAUCUUGUUUGGUAUGGUGGUUUUUUAUCGACUUGUAUUCUUGGGAAUCAUCAAGACAGUGAAAAAGAUGAAGCCUGUGGUUAAAGCUUUUAUGUCUGUGCCCAUGAAACAAACAACUCAAAUCAUGGAAAAUCCGUGUGCUACACCUCCACAAGAAGACAAAAUAUUUUACCAGUGAUCGUGAACAAACGACUCUUCGGAUAUUCGCUAGUUCAACUAGUAAAAUUGCUCGAAGUAGGUACAAAAACUCUGUUCUCAUGGGUGGAAGAGGAAUAAUUUAAUUAGGAAGCAUAUUUUAGCUUUGAAACAUCCUUUAACUACUUUUAUUAUUGUAUUUUUGUAUGAUCAAGAUUUACUUCUUUAUCUUUAAUUUUUAUUUGUCGACUAUUAAUUAUAAAGUUUCUAUAAGCUUAUAGAUAUGAGAUUAUGAUCCUGCUUGAGAUUGCAGUUGAAAUGUUAUUAGUAACUUGUUUAAUAAAUUUUGACAAAAAUGACAUUUAGUAAAUUUUUUAAAAGUUGGUUAUUUUAAAAAAAUUUCUAUUUUGACUACAGUUUUUAAAGACAAGUGGAGAGUUGUUUUUUAUAAGUAACUUAUUAAAUAAGUCACCACACAUUUUUAAAGUUACUCUUAUAAUCUUAAUCUUUUAACAAAAUGGUAAUUAUAUCUUAUUUUUCAGAAAAUUAAUAUACAAAUAAAAGACAAUUUAAAGCUAUGUUUAUUUUGGUUAUUAUAUAAUAAAUAUGUAUUUUUGUAAUAAAAUUUAACAAACUCAUAUAUAUACUCUUCUUUUCGAACUUACACAAAUUGCAAAAUAAUUUAUCAAAUAUAAGUUGGUUUUUUAAUCAGCAGCUUAUAUCAUCUAGAUAGUAGAAGCAACCAAUUUCAUUAGUUACUGCAAUCCUAAACUAGACUUUUAUUAGUAAGAAAGAGAAAUGAUACAUAGUUGGAAAGAUGACUAAAAGGCGAUGGAAAUGGCAACUGUAAAUAUGAGAGAAAAGUAUAGAAUAGGCAGAAUGAUUUUUAUUGACAUUUGAUUAUGUAUACACAUAUAACUGACUUGUUAUACACGAUUGGUUUUUAUAGUUAAGCUAGGAUCCCUACAAUUAAGGUAUGCAAUCAAAGACUACUGUAAUUUAGGAAUACAUAUAGAAAUAUAUAUUUACAACUCAAUACAAUGAAUAAUAUGGAUUCUAUUUUCCAAUACGCCCCUCAAGGUGGAGAGUGAAUGUUCAGUACUCCCAACUUGCGAACCAUAUGCAUGAAAACUUCUUUUCCCAAAGCUCUGGUCAGCACAUUAGCAAGUUGAUUCGCGGAACUCAUAAAUCUUAUUAUCACAUAACCAUCUUGUAUCUUGUCUCUUAUAUAAUGGCAAUCCAUCUCUAUGUGCCUUGCGCGUUCAUGAAAAAUUGGAUUAGCUGCUAUAUGUAAUGCAACCUUAUUGUCACAAUAUAGCAAUGCAACCUCUUGAUAUAAAAUCCCCAAAUCUCUAAGUAAGUAACGAAGCCAUGUCAAUUCACAACAAGCUCUAGUCAUUGCAUGAUACUUUCCUUCGGCUAAGGAAAGAGAGACGGUUUUCUAGAGCUUCGAUCUCCAUGAAAUAAACAAAGGGCUUAAGAACACACAAUACCCCUUAGUAGAUCUUCUUCUAAGGGGGCAUCAUGCCCAAUCUAAGUCACAGUAUGCNNNNNNNNNNNNNNNNNNNNNNNNNNNNNNNNNNNNNNNNNNNNNNNNNNNNNNNNNNNNNNNNNNNNNNNNNNNNNNNNNNNNNNNNNNNNNNNNNNNNNNNNNNNNNNNNNNNNNNNNNNNNNNNNNNNNNNNNNNNNNNNNNNNNNNNNNNNNNNNNNNNNNNNNNNNNNNNNNNNNNNNNNNNNNNNNNNNNNNNNNNNNNNNNNNNNNNNNNNNNNNNNNNNNNNNNNNNNNNNNNNNNNNNNNNNNNNNNNNNNNNNNNNNNNNNNNNNNNNNNNNNNNNNNNNNNNNNNNNNNNNNNNNNNNNNNNNNNNNNNNNNNNNNNNNNNNNNNNNNNNNNNNNNNNNNNNNNNNNNNNNNNNNNNNNNNNNNNNNNNNNNNNNNNNNNNNNNNNNNNNNNNNNNNNNNNNNNNNNNNNNNNNNNNNNNNNNNNNNNNNNNNNNNNNNNNNNNNNNNNNNNNNNNNNNNNNNNNNNNNNNNNNNNNNNNNNNNNNNNNNNNNNNNNNNNNNNNNNNNNNNNNNNNNNNNNNNNNNNNNNNNNNNNNNNNNNNNNNNNNNNNNNNNNNNNNNNNNNNNNNNNNNNNNNNNNNNNNNNNNNNNNNNNNNNNNNNNNNNNNNNNNNNNNNNNNNNNNNNNNNNNNNNNNNNNNNNNNNNNNNNNNNNNNNNNNNNNNNNNNNNNNNNNNNNNNNNNNNNNNNNNNNNNNNNNNNNNNNNNNNNNNNNNNNNNNNNNNNNNNNNNNNNNNNNNNNNNNNNNNNNNNNNNNNNNNNNNNNNNNNNNNNNNNNNNNNNNNNNNNNNNNNNNNNNNNNNNNNNNNNNNNNNNNNNNNNNNNNNNNNNNNNNNNNNNNNNNNNNNNNNNNNNNNNNNNNNNNNNNNNNNNNNNNNNNNNNNNNNNNNNNNNNNNNNNNNNNNNNNNNNNNNNNNNNNNNNNNNNNNNNNNNNNNNNNNNNNNNNNNNNNNNNNNNNNNNNNNNNNNNNNNNNNNNNNNNNNNNNNNNNNNNNNNNNNNNNNNNNNNNNNNNNNNNNNNNNNNNNNNNNNNNNNNNNNNNNNNNNNNNNNNNNNNNNNNNNNNNNNNNNNNNNNNNNNNNNNNNNNNNNNNNNNNNNNNNNNNNNNNNNNNNNNNNNNNNNNNNNNNNNNNNNNNNNNNNNNNNNNNNNNNNNNNNNNNNNNNNNNNNNNNNNNNNNNNNNNNNNNNNNNNNNNNNNNNNNNNNNNNNNNNNNNNNNNNNNNNNNNNNNNNNNNNNNNNNNNNNNNNNNNNNNNNNNNNNNNNNNNNNNNNNNNNNNNNNNNNNNNNNNNNNNNNNNNNNNNNNNNNNNNNNNNNNNNNNNNNNNNNNNNNNNNNNNNNNNNNNNNNNNNNNNNNNNNNNNNNNNNNNNNNNNNNNNNNNNNNNNNNNNNNNNNNNNNNNNNNNNNNNNNNNNNNNNNNNNNNNNNNNNNNNNNNNNNNNNNNNNNNNNNNNNNNNNNNNNNNNNNNNNNNNNNNNNNNNNNNNNNNNNNNNNNNNNNNNNNNNNNNNNNNNNNNNNNNNNNNNNNNNNNNNNNNNNNNNNNNNNNNNNNNNNNNNNNNNNNNNNNNNNNNNNNNNNNNNNNNNNNNNNNNNNNNNNNNNNNNNNNNNNNNNNNNNNNNNNNNNNNNNNNNNNNNNNNNNNNNNNNNNNNNNNNNNNNNNNNNNNNNNNNNNNNNNNNNNNNNNNNNNNNNNNNNNNNNNNNNNNNNNNNNNNNNNNNNNNNNNNNNNNNNNNNNNNNNNNNNNNNNNNNNNNNNNNNNNNNNNNNNNNNNNNNNNNNNNNNNNNNNNNNNNNNNNNNNNNNNNNNNNNNNNNNNNNNNNNNNNNNNNNNNNNNNNNNNNNNNNNNNNNNNNNNNNNNNNNNNNNNNNNNNNNNNNNNNNNNNNNNNNNNNNNNNNNNNNNNNNNNNNNNNNNNNNNNNNNNNNNNNNNNNNNNNNNNNNNNNNNNNNNNNNNNNNNNNNNNNNNNNNNNNNNNNNNNNNNNNNNNNNNNNNNNNNNNNNNNNNNNNNNNNNNNNNNNNNNNNNNNNNNNNNNNNNNNNNNNNNNNNNNNNNNNNNNNNNNNNNNNNNNNNNNNNNNNNNNNNNNNNNNNNNNNNNNNNNNNNNNNNNNNNNNNNNNNNNNNNNNNNNNNNNNNNNNNNNNNNNNNNNNNNNNNNNNNNNNNNNNNNNNNNNNNNNNNNNNNNNNNNNNNNNNNNNNNNNNNNNNNNNNNNNNNNNNNNNNNNNNNNNNNNNNNNNNNNNNUCGUCAUUUUUUGAUAUCAGCUAUACUCAUAGGAUCAUUACCAGUAAUUAAAAUGACGUUAGCAUAUAUCAAAAGGGUAGUAAAAGUCUUGCCUUGCUUCCUAGUGAACAAAGAGUAGUCAGCUUUUGAUUGUACAUAUCCGACUGAACGUAUGGCCUAAGAGAAUUUAGCAAACCAUUGACGAGAUGCUUGUUUCAGCCCAUAUAAUAACUUAUGGAGGCGACAAACCAAGUGUUCCUCCCCAUGUCUUAUUCUAUGGGAUCUGUAAUAUUACUCAAAUUGUCCUCUUUACUCACCACCAUUAUCUACCCUAACACAUUUUAAUUUUCUUCAUGUCCCUCUCUCAACAUAAGCAUAAAAGAACUUAAAUGUAUUAAGCAAUUGAUCUUUAGAUUUUAAAGCAAAAACCCACAUUUUUCUAGAACAAUCAUCAAUAAAAGUCACAAAAUAAAGUGCACCUCCUAUUGAUUUACUUUGCAUCACGCAAACAUCAGUGUAAAUCAAAUCAAGCAUUUACGACUUUCUAGAUGGAGAAAAGCAUUUAAAAGCUACUAUGUAUGUCUUUCCAGCUAAGCAAUGAACACAAGUCUUAAGGGACGUAUAUGAGAAACUGGGUAGAAAUCCUUUUUUUUUUGCAAGAGUUUCUAAUUUUUUCUCACCAACGUGACCAAGUCUUUUAUGCCAUGUCUCAAUGUCAGAAUCUUUUGCAGCCAUAUUCACAUCUUCUUUCUUGAUUUUGUCUUCUAUCAUAUAGAGAGUGUUUACUUUCCCACUCUUAGCUAACACUAGGGAGCCUUUGGUGAGCUCCCAUUUUCCUUUACUAAAUUGGUUAAUAUAACCAUCAUCAUCAAGCUUACUUGUGGAGAUCAAAUUAAGGCGAAUAUUUAGUACGUGUCUGACAUAUUUAAGUAACAAAUUACAUCCAAUUUUGGUUUCCAAGCAAAUAUCUCCUAUGCCCAAAUCUUGGAUGCCUCCUCAUUUCUCAUCCAAACAUGGCUAUAAUCACCAUUAAUACAGGAUGUGAAGUAAUCAAGAUGUGCACCUGAUUCAAUCACCCAAUCACUGGUAUGUCAAGUGAGAUUUACAAAGCUCUCAUCAUAAACAAUACCCUCAUCACCAACAAAUAUGGCUACAAUGUUCUCUUUGUCAUUUUUUAGCAUCACAUUUGUCUUUCGCCUAUUCUCGUUUCCACAAUCUACAUCGCCAUUUUCUGAAAAUGAAAGCACUUCAUGUUUCUCCUCUGGGACUUAGAUCUUCCUCUAGAGUUAUUGUUGUAUAUUUUAAGCUCAAUUGCUAUUAGUGUCAAUGUGCAAGUGUACACAACAAAUAAUAAAGUGAUGAGUAUUCAAGAUUGUGUCCACAGGGACUGAUGCUACUAGAAAUGCUACAGUAAUCACAACAGUGCAAACUUUCUUCUAUCUUAACUUAAUAAAAUUAAUAAGAUUGACUAACUAAUGAGAAUAACAAUUCAAUAAAGUAAAAAUGCAAUUAUAAAUUAAAUUGUACGUUCAACACAAGAGAAUUCAAUAGGAGUGGAGUAGUUGAAUGAUUAAACUCUCUCGAUGGGGUGAUUGUCUUGUCAAAUUAACACCAGUUGCUACAGCAUUUGUUAUAGCACUAGGCAAAAUUACCUUGCAUCCUCAGCUGUUGCAUGUUGGACUUCUCAUACCCUUAUGCAACCUAACAAUGACCAGUUGUUAUGUCAACACAAGAUACGGCAUUACAAGCAUGUCCUCUCUCUACCCUACAAGGUGAAUCCCUAUAUAUAUUUCAUCACAAAUCUUAAAUAAAGUGUGGCCCUUUUGGGAUUCAAGUUAAACUCAAUUCAGGAAACUCAACUUAAGAUCAAGUAUUACUCUAACAAGUUCCACUAAGGCAGGCCAUUUUAUGGCUCUCUCUUAACUGGUAUCAUUAAAUAGGAGGUCAACCGAAAUAAUGAAUGUAAUAAGAUUUAUUAAAGCAAAGUGUUACAGCAGGCAUGCAGCAACUCAUAAGAACAGUCAAGAACUUAUCUAGAUUAUUUGUCACUCAACUGCAAUCAAAUUUAUUUCAUAAUUUGUAAAAGAUAAACAAACGACAAAGUUCCAACCAUCAAGUACAUAUUUCCAACCAAAGAAUAAAAAAGCAGAAAAAGAGUUGAAUGAGAAAAGUUGAAUUCUAAAUAUUCUGCAGAUUUGUAAUUGGUGCAGACUUGUGUCCUUCUCUUCAAUCUUCGUUUUUAUUUCUUUCUUUUUUUUCAAUCGUGAUUGACGGCUCACUUUUCCUAUGAUGUGUGCUACUUUUAUAGUCGAAAACUAGGGUAAACGGAGGCAUAGGUCGCGUGUCUUCCAGAUUAGAAAACUGCAAAUCGCAAUAUUCUGCAAAAUCUUCUUUGUCGUUGUUCCAGAAUUUGCUACAGCAAUGACAAUGGUUGCUACAGCAAUGAUUGCUAUAGCAAUGACUAUAGCAACUGCACAGUUCCAUAUUUGUUUCAAUUCUUCUAUAACCAAGUUCUUUUCCAUCUUUUGCAAGCCUAUCGCAUUAGCAUUCCUUCCUUGAAAUUUGUGCUUCCGAUCACGUACAAUUAUGCAUAUGAUUUAAGCACACAAUUUAUUCUAAAUCAAACAAAAUUUGUGAAGAAUAAAUUGAAAUGGUUAUUCAUGCAAAAUAAAACUAAAAUACAACAAAAACAUGUUAUUUACUCUCAAAGUAAUCUUGAUUUAAGUCCAAAAGUGUCAUGAUAACUCUCAUUUCAUAGAGUUAUCAGUUAUCAUUGUUCUGCCGACAAGAAUUUCUACUUUGGCUUCUCCCUGCCUUUUUUGCUUUUCCAAAACAAGUGCAUCUGACUCAGAGGGAAAUGCUUCAACACUCUUUCUUCUAAAUUCUUCAUUUCGUUGCCUAUCUGUAAUCAUAUCCAAUGUUAAUUUCCCAUUCGGCGCUGAAUUAUUCACUAACACCAUUAAUGUCUCCCAAUUAUUAGGCAUAGAACUAAGCAACAACAAUGCUUAUAACUCAUCAUCUAGAAUAAUCUUCAUAGUAGUUAGCUGAUCAACCAAGCCCCGAACUCAACCAAGCCUUGAAACUCACUAGUGUGUUCAGUUAUAUUGCGGCCCUCGUAUUUUAAGUUAACAAGUCUUUUCAUCAGAUUGAUUUUAUUCUGUGUUGUCGGCUGCUUAUAAAUUGUUUCCAAUUUUCUCUAAAUAAUAUCAGCCGUAGAUUCCUUCGCGACAUAGUGGUAUAAAAUCUGAUCAAUCCAUGAUCUAAUAGUACCCACAACCUUCUGGUUUAAUUGAACCCAUUUCUUAUCAUUUAAAUCAGUGAAUCUAGCUUAUUCGCCUUCAAUGGUUAAUGUAAGUCCUUUAUGUAGAACAAAUCUUCCAUCUUAGACUUCCAAAUAUCAUAAUUUCAUAACUUCAGCUUAAUCAUGCAUGCCGAGAACACUUCUAUCUUAACCACAAAAGGAAAAAAAAAAUACAACUUGAUGCUCUGAUACCAUUAUGCGGGAAGGGGACUCAUACAAGUAGCUGCAAAUAAAGUGAGGACAAAACUCUUUCCCUCUUUGUGUGAUUAAAAUAUGAUGUGUACCUUAAAUAAAUAAGAAGAAAAAUUAACUAACAAAUUCCAAAGCAAUAAAUCAAACACAAGAGACAUAGAUUUUUACAUGGAAAAUUUAAAAUAGGAAAAGCCAUGGGACCAUAGUAAAAUAUAACCUUCCACUAUAUUAAUGGGAUUAUAGCAAAAAUUCUUCUCUAAAUAAAACUAGAGGCUAACAACAUCAAAAAUCUCAAUAAUAUUAGCUUACAGUAACAACCUAAUAUAUGUCUCUCUAAUAAGUGGACAUCUCAAAUAAUUACCAACGAGAGGAUAAAAUACAAAUCAAGACAAGUAAGAUUGUAAAGGACGAUUCCAAGAACUUAACAUCAAAAUUUGUGAGAAAACAGAGUUAAUUUCGCCUUUCGAUCGUUCAAUCACAUAUCGAAACUCAAGCCUCCAAAUUUAAUAUUGCGUCACUAUUCACUCUUCUCUUUUUCUCUCUCUUCUUUUGGUGCAAUAGAAUUAUGUCAGCCGCUUGCUUUUUAUUGUUAGAUUUCAUGGCAAAUUCCAUCCAAGUCCAAAAGUUAAUAUUAAUUGCACAUCAAGCAAGCGUUCUUGGACUUUGGACUUUUAGGACCCUAAAUGAGAUGGACUCAACAAUUCGCAUUCAACGAAGUAUUAAUCAUACAUAUUCACCUUCACAACUUGUUUUUGGCCAACUGCCUGAUAUUUCUCAUUUGAAAAUUUUUUGAUGAGUUGUUUAUGUCUCAUUUGAUCCCUCAUAAAGAAAUCAAAUAGGUUUUCAACGAAGACUUGGAAUUUAUGUUGGUUUUGAUUCUCUAUCAAUAAUUAGGUAUCUUGAACCUUUAACUGAAGAUCUUUUUACCGCACGAUUUGCAGAUUGCCAUUUUGAUAAACAAGUUUUCCCAUUAUUAGAGGGAGAAACUAUAAAAAUAAAUGAACGACUUGAAAUCACACAGCAUGCAUCAUCAUCAUUAUCUCAUCGUGAUCCUCGUAUAGGUCAAAGUGAACUUGAACUUCAAAGGAUCAUUCAUUUGUAAAAUAUUGCAAAUCAAAUUUGAUGAGCAUAUAAUACAUACAUAUUUUACCCUUAAUUAUAUAAUUUCUAGUUAUUUUUAUUUUUUAUUUUUAAUUAUUUGAAUUAUUUUAUUGAAUAAGGGAUUAAUUGGAGAUUAUGGAUAAAAAAGGACAUAAAGGAGCUCAAUUUGGGAGGUAUUAAUUGAUUGAUUUUAGGAGCAAUCAUGCAAAUAUGCAUGUGAAUUCAAGACAAGUUCAUUCAUCCAUGCACAUGAAGACAAGAAGAUUAUGGCCAUCACGUGAGAAGCAAUUGGCGUUAAAAAAAGAGUGAAAAUUCCAAGUGGAGUGCACGUGCAAGACAAAGCAAAUAAAAGGGCCAAGCCUUUUGGCUUUAGAAUUUAAGAGGUGGGGCCCAUUUUAAAGACUAAAUAUAAAAGCAAGCUUUUGGCUUUUAGAGAGGGGGGCAGCCGCUAAUUUUUGGGCGCGGCUGUGCCCGGGGCUUAUUUUUGGCACACGGAGGGCCUUCACUUUUUCAUCUAACUUUAAUGAUGAUCUUAUACAAAUAUGUUUAACUCACUUUGAUUUAGAUUUUGAUAUUGACAGAUCAAUUGAUGAGGUAAGCUGAUUAUUAAUUUAAUCAAAAGUUAAGUUUGAAACUCAUGCUCAUGGAAUUAACCUCUUUUGGUUAACCCCCCCAAGGCCUUUUUUCGCUAGGGGCUUUUGGCGCCCCGACCUUCGGGCGCUUAUUUUUGGGAGCGGCUGUGUCCAUGACUCCCCGGGGGCACACUGAGGCUGCUCGCAAAGUCUCGCCCCAUUCCGAGUCCGACGGAUGAAUUUUGCCUGCGCCCCCCAGCAAGGUUAUAGCCCACCCGUUUUUUGUCCAUUUUCCACUGGGGGCGUUUUUUUUUUCCUUUUCAAUUACAUUUUCUCUUGACCACUCCCAAUUUCUCAAUUACCAAAGCAUAAUGCUCAUCAGUAACCUGAUCACCCAGUUCAUCAGAAAGUCUCGCUCCAUUCCGAGUCCGGCGGACGAACUUCGCCAGCCCCCCCCACCAAGCCUAUAGCCCACCCGUUUUUUUGGCCUUUUUCCGCUGGGGCUUUUGGCGCCCCGACCUUCGGGCGCUUAUUUUUGGGCGCGGCUGUGCCCGUGGCUUAUUUUUGGCACACGGAGGCCCCUCGCAAAGUCGCACCCCAUUCCGCGCCCCAUUCCGAGUCCGGCGGACGAACUUCGCCAGCACCCCCCACCAAGGCUAUAGCCCACCCGUUUUUUUGGCCUUUUUCUGCAGGGGGUUUUGGCACCCCAACCUUCGGGCGCUUAUUUUUGGGCGCGGCUGUGCCCGCAGGUUAUUUUUGGCACACGGAGGCCCCUCGCAAAGUCUCGCCCCAUUCUGAGUACGCAGACGUGAUGCGGCAGGGAAGAGCAGCAACAGUUCGGCUUCUCCAUGGUUGUUUUUAUUUGCUUUAUUGCUCUCAAUUCAAGUAUGUCUAGCUAAUUUUCUUAUACUGAGGUUAAUGAUGAAACCAUAUUCAAUGAAAUAAUUAUCUUUUUAUUUAUUUAAUUCCCUAUAUAUGUUCUUUGAUGAUUAUGGUUUUUAUUUCACAUGAUUAAUUGGAUAUUAUUAAAAUCUUUUCAUCAAUUCUGUCAUGCAUUAUCGAUUGUUAGGAUUAAUAUUCGAUUAAAUCUAUGCUUGGAUCUAUAAAGUUUAUACAUGAUUAUCUUUGAUUCCAUGUCUUUCAUUAAAUUGUUUACACAUAGUACUUAGGAAAACUUUGAUUCUUUGUUAUUCAAUAUGUUCACAUGGGAUACUUAGAUAUCAUACUAUUAAGCAAAAAAAGAACUUACAAAAUGUUAAUUUUAUUUGGGCUUAAUUGUUAUAUCUACGAGAUGGCAUAGAUUGAUUUCGAGUUGUCACUCUAAAAUUGGGGAUUAAUUAAUAAUUAGAUAAUAACUAGUUGACUAUUGGUGGAUUCUGAAACCUUGGUAAUUUUUUGUCUUAUUAAAAUCUCAUUUACUUUAAUUGUUUUCUUAGUUUAAUUAGUUUAAUUUUCUUUAAAACUCAAUAUGCUCAACUAGGUUAGAAUUAAUAUUAAUUUUAUAUUUAAAUUAGACUUUUCAAUUUAUAACAAUUCAUGUGGGAUUGACCUCGUUACCACUAUUCUAUUUCUAGAUUCAUACGCUUGCGAGUAUAUUAAAAUUUUCACAACAAAAUUCCCAUGGAUUUAGUGAUUUAAGAAAAAUAAUAAAAUCACAUAUUCCAGCUGAAAAUAAAGUACGUCUGAAAUGUGGAAGGCCAAUUGGCUCAAAAGACAAAAUUCCUUAGAAGAAGAAAACAUAAUAAAAUUUACAAAUUGAAAUUAGCACUCCUGAAGAGUCAUUGUCUAUUAAUCAAAUAAUAGAGAUUGAUCAAUCAAAUAAUAUUUGCCCCAUUGACUUAUAAGAAGAAAAUUUGCCAACAACUGAAGAAGUAUCAAUUUCUCUUGAAGAGAAACAAAAUGAUGAAAUUACCAUUGGUUUUGUUGGUAUAGAAAAAUCUAGGAUCAAAAUGAAAUAAUUAUUAAUGAUACUUUUUCAUUCACUGUUGCUCUUAAUAUCAACACCGAUGAUAAGGAUCCUGAUCCAAAAACUAUGGAAGAAUGUCAAUAUAGAAGUGAUUGGCCCAAGUGGAAAAAUGUUAUUCAUGCAGAGCUAAAUUCACCUGUGAAAGGUAAAGUUUUUGGACCAAUAGUCCUAACAACUAAAGAUGUCAAACCUAUUGGUUGUAAGUGGAUAUUCAUUAAAAAAUGAAAUGAGAAAAAUGAAACUGUAAGAUAUAAAGUAAGGUUAGUAGCACAAGUGUAUUGAAAGACUUGGCAUUGAUUAUGAGGAGACAUAUUCUUCCCUUAUGUAUGCAAUUACAUUUCAAUUUCUGGUUAGUCUCGUUGCCUUUAAAGGGCUUGAUAUGUGUCUUGUAGAUGUUGUGGCUGCCUAUCCAUAUGGUUCGAUUGAUACAAAUAUUUAUAUAAAAAUUCCCGAAUGAUUCAAAAUGCUAGAAGCAAAUCAAUUUAAACCUCGUAACUUAUAUUCUUUGAAACUACAACGAUCCUUAUAUAGAUCAAAAUAGUCUGGGAGUAUGUGGUAUAAUCGCCUAACAAAUUAUUUAUUGAAAGAAUGAUAUGUAGUAACCCAAUCUAUCCUUGUGCUUUUAUUAAAAAAUCUCAAAUGGGAUUUGCAAUAAUUGCAGUAUAUAUUGAAGAUUUAAAUCUCAUUAGAACUCCUAAAGAGCUUUUAAAAACAACUUCUUAUUUGGAAAAUGAGUUUGAAAUAAAAGAUCUUGGAAAAAAAAAUUACCUUGACUUACAGAUCGAGUAUUUACCAAGUGGAAUACUUUUACAUCAGUCAAUAUACACUAAAAAAGUUUCAAAGUGUUUUUAUAUGGAUAAAACCCAUCCAUUAAAUACCCCAAUGGUGGUACGAUCACUUCAUAUGGAAAAAGAUUCAUUUCGUCCUAAAGAAGAUGGUGAAGCAAUUCUUGGUCCUGAAGUACCAUAUUUAAGUGCAAUUGGUGCACUCAUAUAUCUUGAAAUUGUACUCGACCUGAUAUUGCAUUUUUAGUAAUUUAUUAGCAAAAGAUAUUCCUACACCAACUCGUAGGCAUUGGAAUGGUGUAAACCAUGUAUUUCACUAUCUCCAUGGAACAAUUGACAUGGGUUUUUUUUAACCAAAUGGACUAAAAUCACCACUAAUUGGAUAUGUAGAUGUUGGAUAUCUCUAAUCCAUAUAAAGUCUUAUCUGAAAAAGGUUAUUUAUUUACCUUUGGUAAUAGUGUUGUAUCAUGGCAAUCAAUGAAACAAACAAUGGUUGCAACAAUGGUUGCAACAUCUUCAAAUCAUUCAAAAUUACUUGUUAUUCGUAGAGCAAGUUAUAAGUGCAUUUGGUUAAGAUCAAUGAUACAACAUAUUCGACAAACAUGUGGAUUGUCAUCAAUUAAAAAUAACCCCAUAAUAUUAUAUGAGGACAAUGCAGCAUGCAUUGCCCAAAUUAAAGGUGGUUAUAUAAAAGGUUAUUGGACCAAGCAUAUUUUAUCAAAACUCUUUUAUACACUUGAGCUUCAAAAGAAUAGUGAUAUAGAUAUUCAACAAAUAAGCUCAAGUGAUAAUCUGACAGAUUUAUUUACAAAAUCCCUACCAAACUACGACAUUCAAAAAAUUGAUGCACAAAAUUGGGAUGUGUCAACUCAAAGCUUUUUCUCUAAAUCUUGAAGAAUUUAUGUCAAGAUGAGGGGAAGUAUACUUGUUGGGGAAAAUAAUUUAUUUUGGAGGGAAUUUUAUAUGUUCUUUUUUCUCACUAGGUUUUAUCCCAUAGGGUUUUUUCUAGUAAGGUUUUAAUGAGACAUAUUCUUUUGUAAUUAAUAUCCAAGGGAGAGUGUCAUGAAUUUAUUAAAAUAAAUGUGGAUAUUCAUAACAUACAUCUCUUAGUCUCUCCACUAUCUCCCACUAGGAACCCAUGUCUCUCUAUAAUUGUCACUAUCUCAUAAUUAAUUAUGAUCUAUAAUAUUUCUAUUAAUUUCAUGGAGUGGUUAUGUAACUAUAAAAAGAAGAGCUCAUCUCUUUGUUUUGGACACACACUGGAAUGAAUAAAAUCAAUGUAUAAUAUAUUGCUCUCUCAUUUUACUCUCUAUCUUGUGUUGCUCCUUUAUUUUGUAUUGCUGGCUAAUAGCUUUUCUAAUAUAUGUUAACUAACUUAGAUGAAUAAAAUAAAACCAACUUGUUCAGUACCUAAUCAUAGCACCCACUUGGCCUAUCUCUCAAAUUCAAAAGUUAAUAAAUCACAGUUGUCAAUUGCCCUAGCCAACGCAAAAUUGACUUACAAUAAAUAAUAAUAAUAACAAUAAAUACCCAAGUGCCAUUUUCUUUAGUAACACAAAUUCACAUAAAUUUAUGGAUGGAUACCCACCAGCCAAUUGAAGAAAAGAAGAAUAAUAAUAAUAAUAUAUGGAGCAAUUGCAAGUUCAACAAACCAAACAAACCCCAAUGAAAUAAAUCUCUUAAAUUGCUCAAUUUCUUUCCACUCCCAAAUUUUCUAAGCAACCAAGGAAAUACAGAGAUAUAACGGAGACUAGGGAUGGCAAUGGGCACCGCCCGCAGCGGGUUUGCCAUUACCAAACCCAAACCCGCACAAAAUUUAAAUUACCAAACCCACCCGCAACCCGCAGCGGGUUUUAAUUUUUUUAUAAAAACCCACCCGCAGCGGGUUUUAACAAUUACCAAACCCGCAAUGGUAUCCGGCGGAUUUUUUGCGGGUUUCCGUAUUUAAAAUUACAAAUGUUUAAUAUAUAAAUUUAUAAUAAUAACCUCAAAUUUCAUAUAACAUACUCAAUUUUAUAUUUAAAUAAUGUAAAUGAAAAAUUAAAAUUUCCACAUCAAUUCAACACAAAUUCUCAAAUUUAAGUAUAAAUUACACAAAUCCAUUUAAAAAACACAAACUAGUAUCUAAAAAUAAUAAUUACAUUUCAUAUUAUCAUUUAAAACAAGCUCCAAGAGAAGAUAUUCAUUUCAUUCACCACCAUAAGCAUCCAUCCAACACAAUGCCUAUAAUAAUAAUUAAGAUUAAUAUUUUCAAAUACUAAUUCGAAAGAAAAUGCCUUUAGUUUUCUUUAGAUUAUGACUUUAGAAUAAGAUAUAGGCCACAUACACACAUACACAACUUUGAGCCUUUGGCUAUUUGGUAAUUUAAUUAAUGACAUUAUUUUCUUUAUACAUUUUUAGAUUUAAAUUAAAUUAAAAAUAUUUGAAAAAAAUAUUGCGGGUUUGGUGGAUAUCCAUGCGGGUAUCCAUCGGAUAUAAGGUUAAUACCAAACCCACCCGCAUCCAUGUGCGGGUUUUAAUUUAUAAUACUAAACUCGCCCGCAACGGGUAAAAUUACCCGCAACGGGCGGGUUUUGGCGGGUGGGUUUGGGCGGGUUUGCGGGUACAAUUGCCAUCCCUAACGGAGACCCAAUAAUAAAAUUGUUUGGGGCAAGAAUUUAUCCGGAUCAUCUGUCACAAAGAUAUGCUCUUUCUUGAUUGAAGUAAAUUUGGGUUUGAUUGGAAAUUCGGGUUUAGUGGUCGACAAUCUGCUUGAUUCUAUUAUGUGAUUUGGAGAGUAAGGUCCAAGAGCAUAUUCAAGCAUUGAUAUGGCUGAAAUAAGCUCUUAUUGCAACUUUGAUUAUGCAUGAUAUUUUGUUGAGUAGUAGAUUUGAACCCAAACAAUAAUAGCACCUGCUGUGGAUAAUGAUGUGGGGGCGGAGUACACUAGUGAAUAAUGGAGAAUCGGUAGCUUAAUAUUAAUUUUCUAGGAUUGUUAUAGCCUAACAAUUGCAAUCACAAAAAACGUGUGAAAACAGAACAUUUAUGGAAAAUGAAUAUUGAAGUGUGUUUGGAAAUUGGAAAAUACUCAUAACUUUCUUUUAAAUUCUCUCUUGGAUUUCUUAACUAAAAUGAUGGAUGCUUGAAUAAAUGGUGAAGCUUGCUAUUUAUAGGCUUCAUUUCUUCAUUUUUAUUAAUUUUAAUGCAUGCUUAACAUUCAUUAUAAUGCAUGCUUUUAUAUUAAAUACCAAUUCAUGCUUAUCAUUAAUUCUAAUGCAUGCAUUAACAUUAAAUAUCAAUGCAUGCUUAUCAUUGAUUCUAAUGCAUGCUUAUCAUUAAUUCUAAUGUAUGCUUUUGCAUUGAAUAUCAACGCAUGUUUAUCAUUAAUUCUAAUGUAUGCUUUUGCAUUAAAUAUCAAUGCUUGCUUAUCAUUAAAGUCUAAUGCAUGCUUUUCCAUUAAAUAUCGAUGCAUGCUUUAGAUUAAAUAUUAAUGCAUGAUUUACGAUUUAGUAUUUUAAACUAAAUUAUUUAUUAUUAUUAAGAUGUAAUGAUUGAUUCUCUAUUAGCUCAUUUCAUAAGGCAUUCUUUUAUAGGAUAAGAUCCCCCAAGUGGGCUUAGCCAAGGAUUCAAUGCAAAUUGAGCAUCAUUUUGGUGUAUCCACACCUUCCAAAGCAUAACUCACAGUGGUUGCCCUAGUAUAGUGGCUUGGGUCCACCAUGAAAUACGUACCGUAUGGGCUGGACUAGGUCAUUAGAUAGUUACAAGUUACUAAACUGACCUUAAUUUAUCAUUGUCAUCAUAAUAAUAAUAAUUGUUAAUAAUCAUAAUAAUAGUUAUUGUUAAUAAUUAUUAUUAUUGUUUUUGUUGUUGUUAUGAUUAUUAUUAUUAUAAAAUUAAUAAUAGUAAUUAUUAUUAUUAUUAUUACUAUUUUAUUAUUAUCAUCAUCACCAACAAUAAAAUUUUCAUAAUAAUAAUAAUAAUAUAAGGAAGAAUAAAAUGGAAAUUUCAACAUUUAAAUGAGGAUAAUAUGGUCACUUUAGGGAAUAAGAAUCUUAUUCCCACAUCUUCUCAUGGGAAUCGAAACUCUAGUAAUCAUUCUCAAUUUUAGGUGGAGCCCACCAUUUUGAUUCACACUCUACCUCUUAUUUAAGCAAGUAAACACAUUAUUCAUUUUCAUUAUUUGAUUCCAUUCACAUUCCCAAUAAGUAAACACAUCAAAGAAGAUAGAUUUGUUAUACUAAUGUUAUGGCAUCUCAUAAUUACUAAGUAUUAGGAGAUUUCUCGAACUUGGAGGAAGAUUAAUAUUGAGGAGGCAAAUAAGAUUAAAGUAACAAUCAUUAAUUAAAUUGAGAUUUUUUCUUUGUAUUUAUCUACAACCUAAUUAUUAUAGGUUAUCUUUUAAUUAAUUAUUUAUUUAUCAUUAUACUAAAUGAAUAGUUGAAAUUAAAACACUUAAAUCUAAGGGUCCACAACAAUCCAUUAUCAAUGCCCUCAAAACACAUACAGCAUCAUGGAGAAAUCCAAAAGACAAUCUUUUCUUUUUUAUUUGUUAGUUACUAUAGAUGCCUUUAAAUCUGCACCUCCUCCUGAGUCUCGUUUUAACAUCAAAGUUUGUACUAACUUAUUUUUUUAUUAUAGUGCAAGCCACUCAAGUGGAUUUACAAAUAUGGGUUAAAAUUUAUUAUAGUGCAUACCAUGUCAAUACAUGUGCACUAACCACGACAUUAGUGAGCACAUGAAAUGGCCUAAAGAUUGUCAUUCACUAAAAAAUGACAUAUGCACAUUUGCAAAAGAAACACAAUUGUAUGUUUCGAAGUGGCUAGUUGAUAAGAUUCCUAUUCCAUUAAAAUUAACCAUCCCAUGAACUUGUUUGUUUUCCUUUUAUGAUACAAUAAAUGAUGCUUAAUUUUCAUUUCUUUAUAAUGAUUCCGAUCGGGAUGAAGGAGCGUAUACGAGAGUUUAUAAAGGUAAAAGUCAUUGAGCUAUAUCAUUUAAGCUACUUAUCAAUUAUUUCAUUUGACAAAGCUAAUUUAUUUUACAAAUGCUAACUAGUAUAUACCGUCACUUUUUCAUGAGUGCUAGAAUCAUUUAAUAGUUCAUCCUAUAGGAAGAAGCAGGUGUUCUAAUUACUUAAAAUUGCAUUUAUGAUCUUCAAGAACAUGCUGACCAGAAAACACAUGAUUCCAUUUAGACAUAAUCACAAAAGAUUAUGUAAACACACAAUUGACUACUACCAUAUUAAGUGACAUGAUUGGGGAAUGUUUAUCGGAAGCAUUUAAAUUGAAGAUCUUUUACUUAGAGUUAGAAUGAAGUUUUAAGUUAGUGCAUCAAGCAUGACAGGCAAGCGCAGCAGAAAUGAUAAGAUCACUUGGUGACUUAGUUAGCACUCAAGAAUACUCAAGUAAUAUAAACUCUAGUACUAUAAGUAAGCUCAAGAAAUGGAAAUUGUUUGCAUUCACAAAAUAUUCCUUCAUCUCUCAUUGUCUUAUUCUUUUCUUGGUGUCAACGCAGCCAUUAGCAUUCUAAUAGAUGAAAUUUGCUGAGGGUGAUCCUGGGAUUUAAGAGACAAAUGCAAAAAACACAAACAUUGAACCAGUUUUAAGUAAAACACUUAUAGCAUAAAAUGCUUAGUCAGCAAAUACUGUAGCACAAAUAGGAGCUAUAGAAUUUACAAUAACACACCUUUGAAUCAUCA